rnacentral:lncRNA from 1 species
GAAGGCAGAAACACAUACGGUUGGGAACAUACAAUAUCCAUCCGCAGGUAGUAGCUAGCGAUGGCAUCCGACAAGUCCAUAGCCGCUUCCCCUGCGCUCGUGUUCCUUGCCGUGGCAGCACUCAUGGUGGCCGCUUCCGUGCGCGCCCAGGCUCCGACGCCUGCGCCCACGCCGGCUCCAGCACCAACUCCGGCUCCGACUCCUGCUCCGGCACCAUCCCAGCCUGCGCCCACGCCGGCUCCAGCACCAACUCCGGCUCCGACUCCUGCUCCAGCACCAUCCCAGAGUCCUUGCCCUCCCGGCUUCUCCAACUCCACCGCGUUUAUUCUAGGGGUGAAGCAGUUCCUUAGACGCGGCAUCCUUCUGUUGGGGCCCUUCCUUGCGCCGGUCAUCCCAGGCACCAGCACCACAAAAUGCUUGUGCUAUUACUCUACCAACAUCACCACCAACGUCCAGCCCAUCGUGGGGAUCUUCCCGGUCCCGCCCAUCGUCAGGCCCAACGUCAUUGGGCCCAUCGCAUGCGUGCGUGGACCGGCCACCAUUAACUUCUAACUAAUUACUCGGAUAUUAUAUAUAAAUAUAUAAUACUAUGAAUAACGAGCUCAUCGUUUAUGUGUGUGCAUGCAUGCGUCGUGUCAGCAUGCAUGCGGAUGAGACUAAUUCGCACGUCACAGUACGCUGCGGUACUACAGGAGGAGAUGAGUUGAGUUGACCUAUACAGAUGUAACGGGGUGACAUUGUUCGUGUUGUGUUGUAAUAUGGCUAUCAGUUUGGCAGACCACUCUAAUCAUCAUUGAUAAUAAUAUUAAGUGGAUCUAUAUUGUUUUAAAAACAUUACUGCCCUCCGUUUCAAAUUACAGGUCGUUUUGAUUUUCUAGAUGCAUAGUUUUUGCUAUACACCUAGAUAUAGUAUAUGUGCAUAAUAGUAUUUACCAACUUAGAAAAGUUAAAAACGACCUACAAUUUGAAACGGAGGGAGUAUAAUGAGUAAACCCCUACGUCUAUAUCUACUAAAUAAUCUACCUCUACCAUUAUAAAAAUAAUCUAAUAAAGUAACCACCUAAUAUUAAUCUUAAUUAUCGACAUACUUCUGCCAUUAUGAAAGGUAAUAUAAUUUGACUCCAUAAAUUUACAACCAAAUAUCCACCUUUUUCAAUAAGAAAGAUCAUCUAAAGUGACCCCCUACAUUUGCAUAGAAAUUACCUAACUCAGUCAUUAUUGAAAAUAAACUAAAACAACCCCUUAGAUCUACAUGUAAAUUACCAAGAUAUGCUACUUAUGAAAAGAGUAUAAUAAAUUAAAGUAUCCCAACAUAUAUAUAUAUAUAUAUAUAUAUGCUUCAAAAUCACCGAUUUCUACCACUAAUAAUAUAUAAUAAAACAAACUUGAAGAAAGUAUACAUAUAUAUGUCUAUAUAUAUAUAUAUAUAUAUAUAAUACCAUAGUUUCAGUGGGAACCCAUUUGGUAGUCCUGGUGGGCCCAGGAUUACCAUGGGAUUUGACCAUUUUUCAAUUAGUACUUAGCCUAGCCCAAUACAAAUAGCCCGCACCUUGCUCACAGUUAGUUUUGACUUCAAUUUUUCAAUCAAUUCUCCACAGUUAUGUGAUCAUUGGUCUACUUGAAUGAUUUACAAUAAUUCUUAUGUAUCGGAUCUUGAAAGGCUACGUGAUAACUCAUAUGUUUACCAUUACAUUUUGUGUUAUGAUAAGUGAAUAUCAAUGUUUUAGUACUUUGCAAUAUUCCUUAUAGCAUACUUCUGUUACAAGGCCACAACCACAACUAAGUCUUUGUAUUUUUGAGAUUGUUUUCUUUAACAUGACAACCAUUGAUUUGUAAUAUACCAUUUAAUUUUCUCUUUUGAGUGCUUAAUUUGUCAUUUGUUGCUAUUAUAUUUUUAGUUAUGCAAGUUUCAAACUUAUAUUUUGAAUUUAAGAUAUUAUAGGAAUUUUUAAUAUAUUUGUAUUGUGAUUUUGAUUAUUUUAUACUUGUAUAUACCAUAUUUCUUGGAAAGGUAUUUCAAUUUGCAUGGCAAAUUAUACUCAUAUAUGAAAUUAUGUAUUGGUGUAUUGGCUGGCCAUGCCUAAAUUGAAAUCCUGGUCCGCCAGUGCAUAGUUUAACAAUCUUGGAAAAAGUUUCUUGAAUGAAUCACGUACCAGUGGCUCUAAGAAUGUAUUUUGGAUAAUACUAUUACUCUCUGAUAAUAUGUUAAUUGCUGCUUUAGACAAAUUUCUCAUGUUGGACGGAACAGUGUAACAUAUAUGUAUUAAUAGGUUAACUAUAAGCACUCAUUUUAAAAAUAAUGUGUACUACCACACUCAUAAUUCUUUGAUAGAGGAAAACCAACAUUUUGAGCACUACUAUGCUGCAGGCUAAAACGCCUGCUUAUUUUAUUGUAGUAACUGAAAAGUGCAGCCUUGGACCUAGAAUGAGGAAUAAUGUAGAGCCAGUCUAGGACUUCAGAAUUUUUAGAUUUUUUUUUCUAAUGCAUCUCGUGAGGAAUAACGUAGGGCUAGCCUUUAUGAUGUGCCCAUUCAUAGAUUACAUAAAUACUGUCAUAUCUGCUUCAAGCUGUCCGGGCUGUGAUAUACUGUCAUAUAAGAGAUUCUGCACAGAACCUAUUUCUGCAAUAGUUACAGUCCACAACUAGGCACACUUGAAAACUUUGCAGUGCAGUACAUCUGACUGUAACCACAGAACAGGUGAAUCGCAGCACGAGCAAACCAAGGAUAUGAGCUUUUCAGUGUAGAAAAAUUGACAAGGCAGAAUUACAGUAAAGAGACAGCUUAACCACAUGGCUUCAUGGUAGUUGCUUGACAUAAGCUCCUCUAACUUUCUAACUUAGCUGAGGCAGGGAGGCCUGCAUCGUAGCGAGCGGCGAUGUUGGUGAGGUUGCUUUUGUCGGGGACAAGCACGAAGGUAGCCUCCUUGAAGCCGAUGGUGUUGAUGCCCUUGGUGACAAGUCCACCAUUUCCAGAGCCUGCAUUCUGAGCUCCAUUGGGUAGUCCUUGACACAUCCAAUUCUUGGACCAGCCCCAGUGCUCCAUUUCAGGGACAGCCUGUGGCCAAGCUGAUAGGACUUGGACUCACCCUUGGACUUCAUCCUCUCAAGAAUCGCCUUCUGCAGGAUGCCAGUGGCUCUGGGACUUUGAAGGCCACCAGACAAGGUUCUUUGGUAGGUUGGUUUGGCUUGUUCUGCAGGAGCGUUCUCGCCUUCAUCGCCUUCUGUCAUGUUUGGAGAGGAAAUCACUUCUGGAGGAACUGAACCCAUGAAUUCAGCAGUAAGGUUCUGUGAACCAUCAGGCACCGGAUCUUCAUUGUAGUCUUCUUUGGUGGAUGAACGCACCUGAGUGGCCAAAACCAAGCACAUUAAAUGGAAUCAUCCGCAAUUUGGUGAGAGGAGCAUAUUUUAGCUUGUGAAUGGUUGAAAUGGUGUACCUCAACUUCUUUGAGAUCAACUCCAUUCUCUUCAAGGAAGUUCAUGAAAUUGCUUAGGUUCUCUGCGCUUGGUUUGUAGUGACCACUAUAGGCCCAGAUGGACUUAUCCAGAACAGAGCACAAAAAAUUAGCAGCCAAUAAGAAAGCACAGGAACAAGACAUAAUCAGAGUAUAAAAUAUUAGCAGGAUGAUAAAACAAUGAAAUGUAUGCAUGACACGCUCUUGAAAAAUUAGCCAGAUGAUAGAAUAAUGAAAGAACCCAUUAACUUGUCAUGGCUGAAUCAAGAUAAGUUGACAACUUGAUACUCCGAUGUGUACUAGAUAGAUGUAAAUUCAGAAACUACAUUUUCCCACUAUACUCCUCCAAAUUUCAGGGAAAAUAUUUUUUAUGAAUGGAUACGAGUUUAUAUUUUGUAUUUGUCCUCCAAAAAGUAUUUCAAAACAUUUAUCAAUGGUAGCUUAUGGAAUAGAAAAGAAUGAUUUGAAGGACCAUGCACGAUGAAUUCAUCAAUUCCAAGACACCAAGAGAGCUUUUUGGUCAAAGGUGCUUGAUUAAGGGAUAGGCAAUAACCCAGGCAGGAAUACAAAGAAAGCAAAAUACUAUGAUAAAAAUGCAUAAAAAGCUAACACUUAAUAGGGUAUGGUUGCUCAAAAAUACCUUGAUAAUUCCAUUUUCCGCUGUAAAUCUUCCAGCAGCUAUAGUAGUGCCUCCUGCUAAAAAGCUGGAAUGCUGGAAUACACCUCUCUCUUUCUGGAUGGAUAAAUCAGGAUACAGAAAUAGAUUUAGCGGUGCUAAACGUAAUGUGACAAAAUGAGACAUAAGACAUACUAUUGUUACAGCAGAAAUGCAAGUGCAAAACCCGUAUGAGUACAAAAGUUACCUUCCCAGCAUACAGUCUUUUUGCUGUGCUCAUAACAAAAAUCCAUUUAGUCCCUUUAGGACCUUGGCUUGUAUCAAGUGGUUCUCCAGACUGUUUGUGUAUAAUCUUUCCCUCAUUAAUGAUGUAUUCAUAGUUCUCACGCUCUUGCUGCAAGACAUUAGAUAAUUGUCAGAGCUUGUAACCCUUUGGGAGGUUUCAUUCCAAGAAAAUGUUAAGUUUGCUAAAAAGAAAUUCCUUUUGCUGUGCUUGACUAUGUAUACUAUUUUAAAGCCAAUGCACUUCUGUUAAUGGUCAUGAUUCACGGUUUAAGUGAAUAAUAGUACGGACAGAAGCAGGACAGUUCGUGCUUGAAUCUAUUCAUGUUUGGAAUCACAAUUCAGGCCUGAGGCUGCACCAAAUGCAGUUCAUAUAUGAAGCAAUUUGAUAGUAUAAGUUUCAAUUUGAGAAACAUAAUCUAGUACAAAGAUUGUAAUAUAUAUAUUUCUUAGAAAAGAUGAAUCGCAAAAGGCUUCAGAGACCAACAUAAAUUCUGCCGGUGAAGUCAGUCGAGCAAUCAUACAGCUCCUGACAGAUGCUUUGAGGAAGGUUAUAUGGCAUGAGUUCUAAACAAGGAUAGGCAGACAUUGUGGAACAUUUCUUACCGGACCAAGAUACUUAAUGCAUUGCUUCCUCAGCUUUGCUCUUGGACACUCUGGAAGGUCUAGCUCCUUUCCUUCUCCAACAUCAAGCCUGUAUGUGUCAACAACUCACUUAAAUUGUCAUGUAAUAAAACUGAACUGAAAUUCCUAGUAUAAACAGUGAUUCAACCUUAACUAAAAUAUCUGGUAUGAGCAGACAGUCAAAUAUGUCCAUCUCUCUCCCAUUUGUUAUGCAGAGUGCACUACUUUGUUCAAAUAAGAGAAUCUGCAAAUGUAACUAAGCAAAUUGCAGCAAUGUUCUUACCAGUAGAAGAAGGGCUGGCCGGCCUGGCUUUGACACCAGACAUCGUAGUAGAAGUGCAGGUUGUGCCCAUAUCUAUGCCGCGGGUCGAUCUGUACAAGAACAAAAUGAAUACUGCUAUAAACAGGCAUUGCAUCUAGUGUAUCACUCUAAGAAGAGGAGAUGUGCAUCACUUGUAUGACGUCAAUAGUGGACCUUUUAUGAUCAAUGUUCGCACAUGACUUUUUCUUUUUUAAACCGAGAAUGUUCACACAUGACUAAAACUGCUAGGUCAACUGAUACUUAAAGUAGCCUCUUCACGCACACAUGAGAGCACAGCAACAAAAUCUAAAAAAGCAAAUACUACUAAACUGACAAACAGUACUCUAGUGGGAUUUGUACGAUUUGUACUCACAGCCUCGAUCCAGUGCUGGAAAGCCAGCUUGAGAGCCUUGCCGUCUCUGGAUAAACCCUGACCCACCUGUUACAAGCAAGCAAAAUGAGCAUCAAAGGAAACAAAAAAAGAAAAACGUUUUCUGGUGAAGAAGACAGAGGACAUGAGGGACUUUUGUGCAUGUUUUCUCAGGUAGCAAUUGGGGGCACCUUGGAUGCAUUGAGGCUGACCCGGUUCCAGCGCGAGGCGGCUGUCUCCGGCUUGGGUUCGUCGAAGAAGGAGACGGUGCUGUGGCUGAGGCGCGCGAAGUCCAGCGCCUGCCACCUUCAUCCAUUCAUCCGACAGAAAUAAAAAUAAGAACCCUUCGUUUCAGUUAAAGCUUCCCCCCAAACAAAUCCUCAUCAGUUACCAUCGAUUUCAACAGCCGUUACCAUCAACAAGAACCAAACUAGGCAUUUCUCUGGGGGACACCAAAAUCGCUAAGAAAGGAGGCACCUUUUCAUGGAACAGUACAUCAAGAACCAGUGGGGGAAAAUUGUACUAGCAAUGAAGGUUGUUUCAAGAAAGGGACCGCUCUCCUUUAACAAAUCAAACGGCACGAAAUAGGAGCCGGUAGUCUCCCAGAAGAGAUGGAUAUGAGUAGAAGUACCAGAGCUCCUCGACGACGACGGCGGAGUCGGCGAGCUUCCGGCGUGUCCGGUAGCCACGGUAAGCCUUCUGCAGCUUCGUCGCGGCGCCAUCCUCGCCGCUCCCGCCGGCGCUUCCCUCCACCGGCGGCGACGGAGAUUCCAGUUUGUCCGACUGAAACCUUGGAGGAUCCGUAGAAUCCAACCCCAGCGGAGGCGGCGCCGCCUCCACCUCCAUUUCUUUGAGAUUUUAGGAGCGAGAACGGUUCUGCUUGUGCAGUCAGCACCUUCGCAAAGUGUCGAGAGCAGAGCAGGUGGGGAAUUUAAUCCGGGUUAGCACGCGAGGCGAUGGAAUAAUUAAAUGCGUUUAAUCUUGAGGAUUGAGAGAGAGAGAGAGAGAGAGAGAGAGAGAGAGAGAGAGAGAGAGAGAGAGAGAGGAGGGGGUCGUAUCGUAUCUCAUUCGCCGGGGUGGUACGGACCUGCGGAUACGACGACGACGAGUCGUUGGCGCCACCUACCGGCUGUCCGGCUCUGUGCUUUCUGUUCCUUGGCGGGUGGCGCCAUUACUGCGCGAGGCGUGGCUGGCCCACAUGUCAUGGAGUGAUUAGCAGCAGCGCCAUGAUGACCAAGGCGUACUUGCUAGGACGACUAGCUACUAGCUACUGGUGCUAAUGGAAGACUGACUCUGACUCGGUGAGGAAGCUGGCACACGGCUGUGUGGGCGGUGACGGCCUCGACACCUGUCGCUCUCCGGCGCCUCCGCGCCGGAUCGGGACCGGUCGCCGUCGUUGUCGUCGACGGGCUGCACGCCCCCGUACGCGCGCACUCUGUGCUUUUUGUGCCUGUCGUGGCUCCUCUCUGCUCUCCGUUGCAGAAUCUUGUGCUAGGCUGCUAGCAUAGCACACACAACUCAGCUGACAGAGGUACUCCGUACUAGGCACUGCACCAACUCAGCUGACGGAGGAAUUGGAUACGUGAUAGCAGUGUCACGUGAGAUGUUAUAAAACUAAUGCAGAACUUCUAAUUCGCGAGACGAAUCUAUUAAGCCUAAUUAAUUCAUAAUUAACAAAUGGUUAUUGUAUCACCACAUUUUCAAAUCAUGGACUAAUUAGAUUUAAUAGAUUCAUCUCGCCAAUUAGACUCCAUCUAUACAAUUAGUUUUGUAAUUAUUCUAUAUUUAAUACUAAACAUCCCAUCCAACAUCCCAUCCAACAGUUUCCCAUCCAACAGUUGACUCGCAAGCCCCGCAGGCCUUCGAGAAUGGAGCCUGCAAACCCGAUGCCGAUGGAACGCACGCCGAGGUCAACGUACGAGAACCAAGAUCGCAUCACGGCCGGGGCGUGUGCGUAUACGGAAGGGAAAUAAAGAGCUACCUGCUCCCCAGAGAACAGGUCGAUCAGUCCAAGCUGUGAUAGUAUAAUGUUCCGGACCCAUAAUAUUAUUAUUAACAUUCAGGCUGCAGGCAGGGCCCAGCUGCACGUCACGGCCAACGGCCAACGGUGAGAAAGUCAGAGCUGGUAUUCUUGUACAGUUCUGCACCCAAUCAUGUGUCUGCCAAACAUGCAUCACACCGUCGCAUCACGUCUCGCUUCAGCCUUCACUUAUCUCGGUUUUGCACAGGCAACCUCACAUGGUCUUCCUCUGAUUUCUCCGGACUAGCGGAUGCAGAUGAUGGCAUUUUGUUUGACCCUCCGACGCAGGGACGGGUUAGGAUAGGAUAGGGAGAUUAGGGAGCAGCUAAGUUAAUCGAUGGACAAAAUAUUAAAACAUAUAUUUAGCUCUUAAAAGAAACAAAUGGACCAUGAGGGCGGAGCCUACUGCCUCCAUCCCUGUUCCGACGUCCUGCAGUUGCGUUUUAUCCAUCGAUCUACGUGACAGGGACCGUGGUAUCCUGUCCAUGAGAUAACCCAUCUCUACGAUAUAGAUACAGAUAUGCAUUAAAAUGGCUAUUAGAGCAUCUCCAGCAGAACUAUUAUAUUGCAAGAGUUUGUAAAAAAAAGUGCUCGGAGAGACUUUUUUCCCCAAUAAUUAUUAGAACAACCCAAUAAUUCACCCCAACUUUUUUUUUUAAAAAAAGGAGAAGUUUAACUAUCAAAUACGGUAGAAGUUGUAACUAUCCCAAGUCUUCCGGUAACAAUGAAAUGGAUAUUGGGAUAUCCCCAUUAAUUAGUUAUUAGAAAAUAUUUAUUGCUCUUAGGACCCAAAAAUAGCGAGCUAGUAUAAAAAUCGCAAUAUCUAAUAAUUAAUUUUUCCCAUCUACGUACUACAAUUAAGAAAUACAGCGGUCGAUAUAUCACAAAAUUAGAUCAUUCCUGCACUAGCACGUGGCACGGUAGUACCCUACUUCCCUUGUGUUCAUUACUCUAUUAACCCAAUUGCUUGGUAACCACUACAUAAAGAUACACUGGUUGAUCCACAAAAUCAUAAGAAAAAACCAGAUAAAAAGGAAAAGAAAAGAGAGGUUAAAAAUAGGGAGCAAGGACCAGGGACGACGAAGCGAGGUGACGGUGGCAACACCAUCCGAGCGGUAGAGGCCAUCCGGCGGACAGAAUCAGCACGGGAGCGAGACUGCGAGCAUGGGCAGUGGUUAGGAAGGGUGGGGGUGGUCGAGUGGAGAUGUGGAGUCUGAUUGAUUUUAGCAAGUCAAAGUUUUGGCAAAUCAAUCUUUUAGCUACUAUUUAGUUUGCUUCUAAAAUUUGCCAACAUCUUUCAUUUAUUUUAUUGAAAUAUUGGCAAACUUAUUACUCAUCUUUUAGCUUGCCAAAAUUUUAGCACGCCCAAAUUUUGGCAUAUCAAUCAUGCUCGUGGUUUCAGGAGGCGGAGAGAACCACCGGUCCGGGAGCGAGACUACGGGCAUGGGCAGUGGUUAGGAAGGGUGGUCGGGUGGAGAGUGGAGUCUGAUUGAUUUUAGCAAGUCAAAGUUUUGGCAAAUCAACCUUUUAGCUACUAUUAUUUGGUUUGCUUCUAAAAUUUGCCAAUAUCUUUCAUUUAUUUUAUUGAAAUAUUGGCAAACCUUUUGCUCAUCUUUUAGCUUGCCAAAAUUUUAGCACGCCCAAAUUUUGGCAUAUCAAUCAUGCUCAUGGUUUCGGGAGGCGGAGAGAACCACCGGUACGGUGUUGAAGAUAUAAAGUUGCACGUGCAGUUCGCAUGUUGCCAUAACCAAUUUAGGGCAAGUACAUUAGUGUUAUCUAAUAGGGGGUCUCAUGCAUUGACACGUAAUCUUGAGAUGACUUAAUAAACAAUCUGUACCAUGUCUUUUUAAGUUAUCUUAUAGUAAUUAUAUUUUCUUAAUUUGUGCAUAGAAAAAGAAAGAAAUAUUGUGAGUUGCAUGCAACCACAAGUCGUACAAUAAUGGUUGAGUAGUCAUCUUAUAAUCCUAAAAUCUAACCUAUGAGGUGGUUAUUUCGUGAAACAAUAACCUCUUUCUCUUUCACCAUCCUCUCUCCUCCGCAUCAUUAAAAAUCUCACGUGGCAUUAUAUGAGACUGUAGUGUAGCAAUGUACAAUGAACUUCACAGGUCAAAUAAAAGAAUUUGAAGGCCUUCUUAUAACGUUGGGCUUUUCCCUUAUGGACGACGGCCCAAAGCGACACUACUAAUUGGAUGGAAGUACAGAUGAGGCCCAAAAGCACCAUUCUGCGUGAGCAACAGGCACAGCGCAUGGCGACUGCCGACAUGUGAACAACGCACGGCCGUAGUUCAGCAGAAAUGUGACUCUGCUAAAAGAAGGCAGAAAUGUGACUUGAGUCUUAAAAAAAAAAGAAAUGUGACUGUGAGAUUUAGAAAUGUACGAUUUGUGCAAAGACUAGGAUGCAAUGCCACUCGAUCCCCUGCACCUUUUCUUCGAAAGCAAAACAUGCAAUUAUUUGACCUCAAUCAUAGAGAAAUGAAUAGGCCAUUAGGACAAGGGGAGUAGUACGUACGAGGUAGCGUCGCAACUGGGAUUGCUUCGUUUUGUAGGCCGUCAUGCACAUGACUUAGACUGUGUUAGCAUAGAUUCUUUUCUUACAGAAACAGGUUUCCAGCCCCCCGGCUUAAUCGGGUGACGCGUGCACUAUUAUCAGUAUAUUACCACGACAUAUAAUGUACAGCUAAAGCAGCUGACGAUCGAGCUGACCCUGAAAACCUGCGAUGGAUGAAGGAAGCUUCACAUAGCUGGAAAGCAGUAGUCCACGGGUACGUGUCCCGGUAUAAAGUUCAGUACGUGCAAGCAUGGACGCGUAUACAAGCUAGGCAUCAUGUACACUUGGGAACGUCGCCAAAAUCCCGUCUUGAACUAUACGCAGUGCCCCGUGAAGUUAGCUGAUAUACGACCUUUCCAUCGCCUAUAAAUUUGGAGCAAUCUUGCAUGAAACCAUAUCCCAUCACAUUCGGCACCACUGCGGCUAGCUCCACAGCCACAGUGCAGUGUGCUUUUCUGUAGUCCAGAUGGCUAGGCUGGGGGCAUUGCUUCCUUUGGCCCUCGCGGCUGUCGUCCUCCUGCUCGCCGUCGCCGUGGACGCCGCCACGCCUGCCGCCAGGCCACCCAAGGCCCAGGGGCCGAAAGACCCGCAGCCACCGCGGAACGAGAAGCCCAAGCCGAAGCCGAUGAAGGUCAAGUGCAAGGACCGCAAGCUCUACCCUUACUGCUAUGGUAAACCCAUGGAGUGCCCCGCCGAGUGUUCCCAGUCGUGCUACGCCGACUGCAACUCCUGCAAAUCCGUCUGCGGUAAGCACGCUAGCUCCAUCUCCCUUGAUCUUGAUUGACGACGACGCAUCUAUUGAUCUUGUCCAUCUGUUCUGAUAUGCAGUGUGCAGCGUUCCGGGGGCCUGCGGCGACCCGCGGUUCAUCGGCGGCGACGGCAACGCCUUCUACUUCCACGGCCGGAGGGACGCCGACUUCUGCGUCGUCUCCGACCGGGACCUCCACAUCAACGCCCACUUCAUCGGCAAGCGCGGCGCCGACGGCAUGUCUCGGGACUUCACCUGGAUCCAGGCCAUCGCCGUGCUCUUCGACGGCCACCGCCUCUACGUCGGCGCCCGGAAGACCGCCGCCUGGGACGACGACGUCGACCGCAUGGAGCUCGCCCUCGACGGCGUGCCCGUGAGCCUCCCGCAGGAGGUGGACGCGACAUGGACGUCCAGCGCCGUGCCGAUGCUGUCGAUCACCCGCACCAAGGCGGCCAACGGCGUGCUCGUCGUGCUCGACGGCAAGUUCAAGAUAAGGGCCAACGCCGUGCCCAUCACCGAGGAGGAGUCGAGGGUGCACCGGUACGGCGUCACCACCGACGACUGCCUCGCGCACCUCGACCUGGCCUUCAAGUUCGACACGCUCACCGGCGACGUGCACGGCGUGGUCGGCCAGACCUACCGCUCCGACUACGUGAACGGGUUCGAUGUCAAGGCAUCCAUGCCCACCAUGGGAGGGGAGAGCAACUUCGCCACGUCCAGCCUCUUCGCGCCCGACUGCGCCGUGGCGCGUUAUCACGCACCAGCUGGUCACCGUGGUGAUGGCGUUGCAAUGGCGUGAGAGCUCGCUGGCGCCAUCACCUGUGCCAGUGUGGUGUGUGAGGAGUAACUGAAGGUGUACCUCUACUUAUUAUAUACUGCAAGCCCAAGAGCGGGGUAAACUACGAUGUUGUCGGAGUUGUACCAUGCAUGCAUGUUUGCAUGGUCGUGAAAUUCACAGUAAUAAACUUGCUAUUGGUUGAUGUGUUCAUGGAAAAUUAUAAUGUCAAUUAUAUUGGUGACUUAUAUUUUAAUGCAUCCUUUUUAAUUGAAUUUUUCCGUUGGCUGACCUAGAGUCUUUGUAUUCAGUAGUAGCGGUCGCUCAAGUUAAGGUUUGGAUUUUACUUAGAUCAAUAUAUCUUUGAACAGUGGUCGUUUUCAUUGGUCAGUGAGAUCCCAACUUCAAGUGCUAAAUCAAAGUUGUCUAUAAAUAGAGAAGAAGUGGUCCUGCGAUUGUAAGAUUCGGAUCAUAUUGAUUGGAAGCUGGAUCGUUCGUGUCAAGUCUCCACCAAAUGAGGAGAUAACCUCACCUCCGAUCGGGCACCCUACUUCCCAUCAGAAUCAGCGUCCAGAAGCUCCUUCCUAGAUUCAUCCUGCAGUAUGUUCGAGAAGAAUGUAACGAGGCAUCACAAACAACCAAUGCAACCAAAUCAUCCAAAGCAGUCAAGUAGUUAGCCGUUUAUAUGUAUCCACUUGGGGAAAUUAUUCUAGGUAGCCCCGCUGGUUGGUCCCCAAGAAUAUAUCCAUCUACUUGCAGUUUUCAUUGCUCCUCCUCGAUAUUGUACUGCAGUGCAGGCCUUACCUGCAACAGGAAUGGAUUAGGAGGAAGAAGCUAGUAAAUCGGAGCCUCCUAUCCUAUUUUUAUAUAUAUUUUGAUGAAGUAACAAAAUCAUAUAUACAGCAAGUUUAGGUGAAGAUGCAUGAAUUGAAAUCGGAGGGUGGUCGCCGGUCACGGGCCAGCAGUGAGCACUGAGCAGCGAUCAGGCGGUGACGAGUGGGUGAGAUGGCGAGUGGGCUGCAACUUCUUGGCUGCUGCCCAAAGCCCACUCACCAACCUCAGUCCAGUCAGAUGCUAUAGACUAUGUUGAUAAUACUCAUGCCGAGGAUGAAAUAACCAAAAUGAAACACAACAGAAUUCAUAUUGCUAGGUGAUAACACAUUAUACAACUGCUGCCAACGCAAUGUUCUAUGUCGCUAUAUAAAUUCAGCAUGGCAAUAAUAUACAUGACCAAAAGCAAAGCUAAGUUUAUCACUAGAACCAACGUAUACAUUAGCAACAUCACAUUGUCGAAACAAGUGACCAAGCGACCAUAAUAUCUAAUGUGCAGAAGCCAAGGCGGCGAAGAACGCCAUGGCUUGCACCACCCUUCUUAGCCUUACAAGACUUGUUCUUGUCCACCACAAUUUCCUCACCUCGCCCUGCCUUCACACAAACCUCCAACACAAACCUGGCCUGACUCGCAAGGAUAUAGUUGCCUCCACCGAAUGAACAAUAGAGCCAAGCUCAAACUCCAGCGAAGUCAAGUUGCGGUAAGGUACUGCUAGAAAGCUCAUGCUUUCAUCCUCAGAUUGAGUAGUGCCCUUAACUUUCAGGUCAACCUCAAAUGUCACAGGGUCCACCAAUACAACGGCACGGGUAGGAUCUGUCAGCUUCAAAUGUGGAUCCUAUCUGCAGUGCAGCACCAUUAAAUAAAUACUAGGGUAAAUGGAAGUGAAUUUCAAGAGGUUACCAGCAUAACAAACAAUACAGAACAUUACAAAUCAGUAUUGUAAACACGAAGUGCACAACAGAAAAGACGCCGUAAAAUUAUUAGUUUGGUGCAUCAUCGACAGACAAAAAAAAAACACAUUUUACCAUUGGGAGGACUAGUAUGAUUGCUUCGUCAGGUAGUGAAUAGGAAAGCAAGAAGCAACAAUCAAGGCAGCGAACAACUGGUAAUUAAGAAAUAAUUAUACAGACCUCUUGGGUAAGGAUUUGGCAGCUCUCUCUCGGGCAGUGAAAGAUCAUAUUGCGAUUGUGAUCAACUACAUCACGUACAGCAACCUUGCCAAACACAUGCAUGGAGUGGCCACUGUAAUCCUUCUCUUAACUUUGCGACUUUGAGUGAAUAGAUCUGCCGGGCCGCCCAAUCAAAAAGAAUAAAUGGGCCAAGCUUGGACCGCUCGGAUUUUUUCGGGUUGGCAAAAUGACACCACGUCCGGCCCUAUAAAGACCACGGGCUGAGCUUAGCCCAACGGGCUUGGGUCGAGCCGGGCCGCCCAAUCAAAAAAAUCGGGCUGAGCUUGAACCGCCCGGAUUUUUUCAGGCCGGCAAAAUGCACACCACGUCCGGCCCUAUAAAGGCCACAGGCCGAGCUUAGCCCGGCGGGCUUGGGCUGAGCCAUUGGGCCAGGUCGGGCCGAGCCACAUUUGCUCAGGUCUAGUGCACAGCAGUAAAUAAACGUAGCUAAUAAAAAGUGCUCAGGUCUUGCUGCUAUUCAGUACUAAUAGCUAACAACACAAAGCACUCUCAUAUCUAGUUAUCUGCUCCGUCCUCUGCUGGUGGCGCCCAAGACUAUCAAUCUAGUAUUCAGGUUCGUUGGCACUCAUAGCCUGCAUGCGGAUAUUGUGCUAUGUGCAAUGAUAAGAAUUGAAGCUAACGCCAUAAUAGAUUUUAAAAAUCAUUUCAUUUGGUCAGUUCCACUAAUAUCUUCAUGCAAUUGUCAUGCUAUCCUGAAUGUAUUAAUAUCUCUAUUUACACUUUGCUUUUGAAAAAAACAACUAUAUAUGUACUAGAUUGUCUUACCAUAUAACAGAGCACAUAAGGGUGAGUAUGCGUGUGUGUGUUAACUUCUUCCUCUACACAAUUUUCGCAAAAAUAUGAUAGAGAACUAGUGUUUAUUUUAGAGAUGAUUGAGGUGAAAGUAAAUUUGGUAUCCAUAAAUAUAUAUUAGCAGUGGAAUAUUAAAUUUAAUUAAGCAUUUAAUUUACAUAAGUAUGAAACUAAAAGUUUGUUGCAAAAUUUGAAAAUUAUAAAUAAUCAAUAUAUAGUUAUACCUUAUGUGCAUAAUGCAGACUUCAUAUUAUUUAAUAAGUAUCAAAAUGUGACACUGGCAGAAAAAUACUUCUAUCCAAUGCAAGGGCUCCUUUUCUCUCCAUCUGCCAAAACCCUCACAAGCCCACUCUCCAAUGGUAUGCUCAUUAGCGUCCGUCCGUCCGUCCGUAGUAGCAAUCUACUUGUAUGUACACCUGUAUGUACUCUCUGAUGCUCAAUGUAAGUUUGGGCUUUCCAAUUGCUAAGCAUGCUACACCUGUAUGAACUUGUGAUGCUGCAUCACGUGCCAUCGAUUCCAUUUAUCAUCCAUGAUGCUGCUGCUGAGCUAGCCAUUUCAAGGGAUGCACGUCUGGGUCGUGCUCAAGCCAUGGCACCUGUAUUGCUCGGACAGCAGCGUAUUCCAGUGACAGUACUUGCUAACCCUUUUACCACGGAUGCCACUAGGUCACCUCGCAUUAGCUACCAUGGCGUUCUGAUGCAUGACGUGGACAAUGUUACAUGCAAGGUGAUGCUCUUCUUCCGGGACACUGACUGGUACUUUGUCAGCUUUCAGCGUUGCGUGGUGGUUGUGUUGCCUAAUGACAGUCUACAAGAAAACUGGGGGGUGGAGAUUCUUCUUCAACGAUCUCGUCAAGGACAAGGAGGUUCCAGCAUUCUUGUAUAUCGUGAAGAUGGGCAUUGGAUUGUCUCACUCCGACAAAGGGUAAGGACGCAGUUUCAUUCAUCCAUCCAUAUUUAUUUGUUUUGGUCCCCAUGCUUGCUUUUUGAUGUUUUGGUAUAUUAUUUGCUGAAUUAGUAAUAUGCACUGUGCAAAGACUUUCCAGGCCCGAGGCUAUGGCUGACCUCUUCAACACGCUGGUCGGAUUUGAAGAUCAAGUAUACAUUCACAACAACGGGACAAUCGGAGAGGUGAGAGGAUUGACUCCAGCCUUGGAAGAUGACUUGAAGAUAGCCAUCAGCAGGAUCAUCAUUGUGUUCUGUGAGGCCAUGAGAUUGAGAUCCAUCUACCUCCUCACCCACGCCAGCCUUGGCGGCCAUGAGUACGCAACCCUCUUACCGUUCGCCUGUGGAACCUCUUGCGCUCAUGGGGGAAGUUGUCAGAUUACGUGCUGAGGAUGAGGAGGCAGGGUAGCAUGGACCUCAACAAUGAGAUGGAUCCACUCAAUGCCGACUUGUCAUCCCACGGGUUCCCAACAAUGACCCUCAGUGACUUGAUUGGGCCAAAUGGGGAAGAUCGAGGUAGUACGAAUCAUCAACCUAAAGAACCUGAGCAAUCGUUUAGCCAAGCGAGGAGCGAGGACCAACUUCCCCGAACCUAACUUUGUCAUGCCAGCCACUCCAGAAGCAGUAGGAUUAGGAGGAGGAAGAGGGAGAGGUAGGGGGAGAGGAGGAUGAAUGAAUGUGAUCUUAUCACCAUUUAUUUGUGUUAGUUUAACUUUUGAGCAGAGAACAUCGACUACUUCUGCUUAAUGCUUAUUAACCUCUCCUGGUUGAACUUAAGAAGAUUCAUUCAAACUAGAUUGCAUCUAAGUCAUAUUUUUGGAUAAAGCUUUCAUAUUUCGCUAGCAUCUUGCCCCUUCUGUGGUUGUCUAUGAUUCUGCUCUGCAUGAUCUCUUGAUGAAUAGCUUGAUGGGCCGCUGCCCUCUAUUGAGCGCUAGGCUAAACCUAACCCUAAGAAUGGCGUAUCCUAGUAGCCUACCUGUAUGCGGCAUGGAAACUAGAAAGAAAAUAAUUGAAGAACUUGGUGAUGAGCCCUAUGCAAUUUUAGCUGAUGAGUCCAGUGAUAUAUCACAUAAAGAACAACUAGCUCUUUCCUUGCGUUAUGUUGAUAAACUUGGAAGGCCUUGUGAACACUUUAUUGGAGUUGUUCAUGUAGAUGAUACUACCUCUUUGUCACUUAAGGAAGCUAUUGAGGGUUUACUUGUUAGUCAUGGAUUGACUAUGACUCAAAUUAGAAGUCAAGGUUAUGAUGGGACUAGCCAUAUGAAAGGAGAUAUUAAAGGGCUAAAAAUAUUGAUCAUGCAAGAAUCACCUUCUGCGUAUUAUAUUCAUUGCUUUGCACAUCAACUCCAACUAGUUCUUGUUGCUGUUGCCAAGAGAAAUACUGACUGUAAGAGUUUUUUUUGAUUAAGUAUCUAUCUUAUUGAAUAUUAUUGGAGUUUCUUGCAAGCGUCAUGGUAUGCUUUGAAAUGCUAGGCUUGAGAAUAUCAAGAAAGCACUGGAGUGUGGUGAGCUUGAAUCAGAGUGAUUAAAUCAAGAGAUGAGUUUGCCUAGGCCUGGUGAAACUUGAUGGGGUUCUCAUUACAAAACUAUAUGCGACAUCAUUACUACGUAUUCCUCAAUCCAUGAUAUGCUCAUUGAUCUUGGUGAUGAUAUUUAACAUAAGGAUGAUUGGACAAAGAUACAUUUUGUGUUGGAGCAUUUGAAACCUUUGAGUUCGUUUUCUUUGUGCACUUAACAUAUGUUAUUCUUGGAUACACAGAUUGAGUUAUCCGAGUGUUUGUAGAGAAGGGAUCAAGAUAUUCUUAAUGCGAUCCCCUUGUUAAUGUGGCAAAGAACAAAAUGCAACAAUUGAGGUCUGAUGGUUGGGACCACUUCCUUGAGAGGGUUAUUUCUUUUUGCAUUAAACAUAAUGUUGAAGUUCCUGCUAUGGAUGGUGAUUAUGUGCCGUAUGGAAAAUCAGCAAGGUAUGCCCAUGCCUGAAACCAAACAAAUGAUGACCAUUUUAGAAGAGAAGUAUAUAUUGGUGUCAUUUAUCAAAUUAGUCAAGAGAUUGAUAAUUGGUUUGAUAAGAUCAUUAUGGAGCUACUUUCUUGUAUGUCAACCUUCAGUCCUUCCAAUUCAUUUGCUUCGUUUGAUGCACAGAAGGUACGUAGAUUGGCUGAAUUUUAUUCUAAGGACUUCUCCAACAAUGAUUUGCUAAAACUUGAAUUGCAACUUGAUAAUUAUAUUGAUGACAUGCGACGAGAUGAUAGCCUCAAGGGUCUAGACAACAUCGUUGAUCUUUCAGUUAAGCUUGUUCAAAUACGGAGGCACAAAGUGUAUGAUAUGGUUUACUUGCUUCUCAAAUUGAUAUUGCUUUUACCAGUGGCAACAACGAGUGUUGAAAGGUUAUUUUUUACAAUGGUUAAAGUGAAAAUAAAGUCAAGGAAUAAGCUAGGUGAUAGUGUUUUGGACGAUUGUCUAGUCACAUUCAUUGAGCGGGAUAUUUUGUUCCAAGUGAAUGAAGAAGAUAUAAUCAAGAUAUUCACGUCAUUCAAAAAAUGGCGGGUAAACAAAGCAGACAAGUAAUAGUGUAAGUUUCUUUUAUGCUAUAUUUUGAACAAUUUAUAUUGUGAUUUGUUAUUGUUUCUAGCUUAAUCUUUGAAUUUACCGAAUUGUAAAUGGUUUCACUGAAUUGCAUAAGAUUUUUUUUCGACGUACCCUGUGGUAAAAUCCUAGGUCUGCCACUACCGGUCAUCCAUGAAUAGCAUGUCUUCGAGGAUGACUAGGUACCUCUGAUUGCUUAUUUUUUUUGAUCAAAUAUGAUGAGUCCACUUUCUGUCGCCUCUAUCAGCCUCAAGACAUCCAUAUUGCUUCCUUGUGGUCUGUAGUUUGUGUGGAAUUGAAUCAGCAAGCUCUGGAUGAUCGAACUUGUUGAGAUUGAAAGAUGCAUCAGCUUCACCCAAGCACGGCAUCUGAAAUAUUGACAAAUUUCAGGGUCAAAGUAGGCCUUCUUGAUUACGAAUGCUGUCCCAAGAUCGCUUCCUGUUCCCCACACCGAGAUCACUUCACUUGAAGGGGACCAUCCUCUUUGUUGAUCAGCUUGAUGAGAUCCACUUGGCUGCUCUCACAAGCUGGGUCUCUUGCAUGAAGGCUGCCCAGUGCUGUUGCGUUAGCCACUGCCUGUGGAUGCAUAUGCUCUGACGACUCAAAGCUCGAGUCACCGAUAUGGCUGUAGCGUAGGUUCCUGUGUUCCAUAGCCUUGAGCAGGUCUACGGUGGCAACUACAUCAUCCAGGGCCACCAGCGGCACUGCUGCCAGCAUGACCCGUUGUCCAGUUGGGCGACAGAAUCGAUGCAAUCCUCGACAUCUAAGGCCAUGUUGCGGACCUGCUUCACCAAUGUCCUCAUCAUAUCGAUCAUUUGUAGCACGCUCCGUGGUGACGAUGAGGAAGGAGUGCAUGAUCUCAAACUCAUCUGAGAUAACAAUCAGGCCCUGGUUCACGCUCUUCUGCAACUGUUUCUCCUCCUCAAUGGCCGAUUUGGCCAUGUUAAGUGUACCCUCUACUGCCGUCUUGGCCAAGCCAAGCACAAAGUCCGCCAUUGCUUCACUCUCUAAUCUCUAUGUUUGUCCUGCUCCAGUGGUUACGGUGUGUGUGUGUGGGGAACUUGAAAGGGUAAGCUGGCAUGGAACACUAUAUAACUAAUGCUAGAACUACUUCAUGUUCAAGGUGUGCAAAGAAUCAACAAAGUAAGCUGCACGAAAUUUCACAGGAACAGACAGACAAGAGUGGAUGGUGAAGAUAAGAAAAAAAAAUAUUCCUUGUCGAUGUUCGGAGAAUAGAAUAUAUGGACGCUGCAAAGAAUAUUUUACUUUCCGAUUUGUGAAAAAGACUAAAUAAACUCAUCUACAAAAAUUUCAAACAAACAGCGAGACGCACUAGCAACAAAGAACCGGCAUCCCGCGGAAAUAUUCUCAUGUAGGUCAAACCCAACCCACAUCCCUUUUGAACCAAACACGGGACGAUGUAGGUCGAACCUGUUCCGAUUCACAUCGAUCCGGUAACCAAAUUCACACUAAAAGCACGUAAGGUAACUUUAUUGGCCCAGCACACAAACUUCCUUCUUUCCAUAAGAUACUCUCUUCCUCCAACAAGAUUCCAGACUCUUUUCCUCAACAAGAGUCCUGCAGUUUCACUGGUACACAUCAGUGGCUGCCUUAAUCAUACAAUUGUUUGUGUAGCUUACAAUAAUUAAUAAGGUAUCAUCAAAACUGGAGUUGUUCAAUUCUUGCCCCUUCAGAUAUCAAGAUUAACAAAAAGUAAGACGGUGGGAUUCAGUUUUUAGUGCGACAGGAAUUGGUACCGGCAGCAAUCAGAUUAAAACAUCCAUAUUUAUGUUCAAAUACAAUGUGGAAAAGAAAAAAACAAAUCCAAACAACAGAUCUCCACCGAGCCAUAUAUAGGCAUUGCUCUGAAGCCACUAGGCACUAGCAAUGAAGACUGCAACGGUUGGCGCCCUGCAAUGCAUGCCCUUGCCAUAAGAUACUGAUGAUCAAGGGCCGGCUUAUAGCGCUUAUAUUAGAACAGAGAGAGUAUACAUGAAUCUUCAGUAUCUAACUCGUAGGUACAUAAAAGUAUAGAGCUCAAAUUAACACUAUGGGAUUAAUGAGCCCAAAGUCCAAGAUAAGGUAGUAGUACUAAAAGGCCCAUUUAAACCGGUUGGCCCAAAAUCUGGUAGCUACAGUACAAUUAUGGAUAUGACUUGAGUUAGUAUGGCCCAACGCGUUGCUAAUAAAAUAACCAGACCAGUGGAAGAUCCAGCCUUAGAGAGCCUAGGGGGCUCUUCUCCCUUUUUCUUCCUUGGCUUCCUCUUUCUCUCCCUUUCCUUCAUUCUCUUCCGUGUCUUCUUUCUUUCUCCAUAAAGAUGGUGUGUGUGGGUACCAACUAGGAUCAUGUCAGGUAUAUUGUUUAAUAUUGGCGAGCCAUGUCCGUUAUCGCAAUAUCAGUGGAAGUAUCAGGUUUAUGUUCGUCAGAAUGUUGGUGCAGUGGGUGACCCAGCUGUUGUAUCUUGCUGGACCUUCUACCUGGACUGAAAUGAGAAGGGGGUGAGCGGUAUCUUCUGAGUCUUUGCGGUCAUAAAGUCCACACGGGGACGACAACAACAUUUCUGGACAGCGUAACUGUGUGACAACUCGAAGCUAUUCGUCUAUGUUUUGCACUGCAACAAAUCAUCAUUGCAUCCCACUGUCAUUACCAAGCCAUGUCUUGAUGAUCCCACUGUUCUAUUAUUGAUGGACAGACAAUUGAAAACAGAUCAUACAAAGUAUAGUGAGCGGUCCCUUAUCUAGAUAUCUGAUAGUAUCUCGAUUUCACAAAAUUAACGCUCCACGGCUCACUAAAUAAGGGAGAAAGUAAAUAAAAUCUCUCCAACUUUGAUCUAAACAAUGUGAUGCAAACGAGCUUUGUGCACAAAGAAGAUCACACAGCACAUGUUCCAGCAACAACUUGUACCUGUGUUCCUGGAACAAGCACAUCAAUCGGAUUGCUUUGUUUAUCCGAGCUACCUGUUAAAGAGGUUGCUACUCUCUAGUAACUGUCAGGUUCAGAGAAAGACCUAAAGAUUGAAGUCAAUCUCUUUGCCAACUAACACGAUUUUUUUGGAAUCCCAACUUUGCCACCUACUGUAGCUCGUCUGGCACAUGGGUACAUUUCAGUUGUGUUCUUAUGUUGCUAUCUAUAUAGCCUAUAUGGUAAACAAACAACUAUCUAAUCACUUUUAAGGUACAAAAAGACAUGUUAUUCUUCCCAUGAGGCUAUGAUGAUCAGCAGCUUAGGGCAAAUACAAAUCUCACACUAGCAAGAACAAGGUGCAAUAGAGUGGGUUCUGGAUGAUUCGCAGAUGUUAGACAACUCUGAUGGGCCAUGUUCUUGCAUUUGAUGUUCUUGGAUGGUUGUAAAGUUGGAUGGAGAGAACGAAACAAAUCUCACCGUCGGAGCAUGCUUCAACUUUACAACCAUUCAAACUCUGAAAAGAUGGCUCCAUUGAUUGCCUCAAAGAGUUGUGAACAAGUAGCCAACAUGCCAAACCACAGAUCCUCCAACUUCAUCACUAAAGGAGGAGCUAGUAUCUCAUAUUUUUUUCCUCAAAUAACUGGACACAAAUGGUGAGAAGGUUCAGCAACUAACCAAUAUAAUGCUAUAGAAAUUACACGUCAUAGGCAUGUGUGUCGUUUUCAUUGGGCACCUUCUAUAACAACCGGUUGUUUGUUUGUGGAUUUUGGUCUACGAUGUGGCCCCAAAUCUCCUCCAGUUUGUAGCCAUUCUGGCAAUGUGAUGGUGAUUUCAUUGUGCACGUUGCAAAAUAAGCUGUCGAGUUGGCACCAACUAGGAUCUGGUAUGCUUUUUUUUUUUUUGCCAUGCUGCAUCAGUUGCGUUCCCUGAAUUGCAUCAACGACUAAUUAUGUUGGAACUUGGAAGCAUCUACACAAUCAAUAAUUGAGGUAUCACUGUAUCAGGUUUGCAUAGAUGACUCUUGUCAAUGACACAGAACUAAACUACAAACAAAAUUAUAUCGGCUACUGUAAAAGAGUUGAAAUAUAGAAAUUUUAGAAUGAUUGGGAAAAAUGAGAGCCGUCCAUCCCGAGAAAAUCUAAUACUCCCUCUGUUCCAAAAUGUAGGUCGUUUUGAUAUUUUUAGGUUCAUAGAUUUUGCUACGAAUCUAGAUAUAGUAUAUAUCUAAGUGCAUAGCGACAUCUACGAACCUACAAAAGCCAAAAUGACCUACAAUUUGAAACGGAGGGAGUAGUGGAAACAAAGGAAGUACAUUGAAGUACCUAAAGAAAAGUACCAAAUUGGUGGGAUCAUGUACAAAAAAUACUCCUUAAAUUUAAUUUUUAAUUUUUUUCCCGAUGAGACGGUGGAAACAAAGGAAGUUGAAAUACCAACAAGUACCAAUGGGUACUUUUAAACUAUUGUAAAAGAGUUGAAAUAUGGAAGUUGGGAAAGGGUAGGGAGGAUUCAAAGAAAAAGGACAGCUGCAAAUGGCGCUGGAGAUAAACUGGGAAACAGGACAUGGAGACUUCUAUGGAGAUAGCAUAAUGUAUGCAUUAUCUUAGGAAUCGGGUGUCAUUUUGCAGCACGUUUUAGUUCCUCUUUGCUGAUCCAACGGGAUGGAUCACUAAUUGUAUUCUUGUUCAUAGUAUAUGACUAUUCUUCGACUUGACAGUGUGAAAGAGAAUAUAGUGCACUUGAGAUCACCUAAAAAUUCAGCACCAUCUGAUUAGCAACAAGCAUCACAUUUACUGACUACUGAGAAAAGGAGACAAAUGCAGGAACCCAUCGUUUUCACCUCAUUAUCUCUGCAACAGCAAGCCCUGUUCUGCAAUACCGUCUAUGCACUAUGCAGUUCACUUGUCAGUGGUCUGAAGACAAAUCUGUAUGGGCAUACACAAAGAGACAAUCGACACCAGACCCUGCAGGUUCGCAGUUGCUUCUAGUGUGCAAGCUGAAACUGUAGUGUGGACCCUACGUUGGAUCUGGCAAUGAAAUUAGCAGGGGCCGCGAGCAGAAAUAACACAGGGACCAUUGUUUUCCCUGUCCAUGUACAGUUUCCUUGGUUAUACGAUCAAUCUGGUGAGCCAAUUGUGGCUACUGCACUGAUUUUUCGUCAGGAUUUCAUUGUGGUCUGAAACUCUGAAUCUGCUGCUCCAAGAAAUAUGAAUGAAAAUCUCUGCAGCUGAAGGUAACUAAUGUAGGCUUAAUCCUAGAUGAUUUGAAAUAAUGUAGGAUGAAAACAGAGGUCCAGAAAGAAAAAAAAGAACUGAAUCACGGGAUGGAAUAUGCAAGCCGCAAGGUCCGUAUGCAAAAUUCUGAAGAUGAAAGGCCAGUGGACUCAUCAAACAGUGGUGAUAACAUUAUGGAUUUCGCAGUUAGCUUUCUGUUGCAGCAUCAGAAAAGGAACAAAGCACACAUUAAAUGGAUCACUGGCCGGUGGAACUUCUGAAUGGAACUUUCGAUUCAACUUGCUAUUUCACUCCCUCUACUUUUGUCUAUGUACACUUCAUCUCCUUUUUCCUGAAAAAACUCUACCUAAUCUCUAUCUUUUUUCUUUUUCUGAAACCACGAAUCUCUAUUUUCUAACUCUCCUAAUCCUCACUGGGAGCCCGCCACUGAUGGACGCGGUGAGCCCCGACACGAACUUUGGCGCGCAGGCGCCGCUGCCACUCUCCCCGACGACCUCGACGUCGAACCCUCUCACCACCGCCACGGCGACCGCCUUCAUCUCGGUGAUGGCAAGCUCCUUGCCGAGGCACACACGGAGGCCCGCCUGGAACACCGGGUACUUGUACAGGCUCUCCGGCACGAAGGACCCUCCAGCGCCGGUGAGCCACCGGUCUGGCCGGAACACGCCGUGGUCGGCCCCCCAGAUACGCGGCAUGCGGCCCAUGGAGUAGGGGUGGUACAUGACGCGCGCGCCGCCGGACACGUAGGUGCCGUCGGGGAGCACGUCGGCGGCGGCGCAGAACUUGGAGUCGAACUGCACCGGCGGGAACAGGCGCAUGUUCUCGUACAGCACGGCGUGGGUGUAGUGCAGGCUCUUGAGGUGCUCGUAGGUCACCGGCGUCGAGUCGUCGCCACCGGCCUCGGCGCGCAUGGCGGCGGCCACAGCGGGGUUCUUGGAUAGGAGCAUGAAGAGCGUGGUGAGCGCGGAGGACACCGUGUCGCGCCCGGCGAGGAGGAAGCUGACCACGAUGUCACGGAGGUACUUGUCGUCCACGGCGUGCGCGUCGCCGGCCGAGGCCAUGAACCGGGACAGGAGAUCAUGGCUGUUGGCGAAGCCCAGCUUCCGGCGCUCCCGGAUCAUCGCCGCCGCGAGCUCGUUGACGAGCUUGAUGGCCUUCUUGAGCUCCCUCUCGGACCCGACGUUGAGCAUGCGCUUCACCUUCCACAGCAGCGGCGACGCCGCCGCGCCGCGCAUGGCGCAGAGCCGCGUCGCGGCGUCGAACGCGUUGGCGAGCUUGGACACGGGCAUUUCCCGCUCGAGGCAGCCCGGGUCGAGGCCGAAGGAGAUCUUGCAGAUGGUGUCGAAGGCGAAGCGCCGGAACACGUCCUGCAGGUCGACGACGGCGCCGCUGUCGGCGGCGUCGGUGAGGACUGGCAUGAGGCGGGCCUCCACCUCCUGGGCGAUGAUCUUGUAGGCGUAGGAGCGGACGGCGACGCUGCCGAGCUCGAGGCUGGCCAUCUUGCGCUGGUGGCGCCAGGCGUGGCCGUCGACGUUGAAGAUGCCGCCGCCGAGGAGGUCGCCAAGGAGCGCGGCGAAGGUCUUGCCCUUGGGGAAGUUGUCGAAGUUGGUCUUGAGCAUGUACUCGACGUUGGCCGGGUUGGCGGUGACGGUGCAGCCGAGGACGUGGACGUGGAUGGUGCCGGUGGCCGACUCCCGGAGCUGGUGGGCGUACCAGUCGCCGAGGUUGGUGAAGUCUCUCGCCCACGACCCGGUGAGGUAGGCUCGGCAGACAUGGCAGCUGCACCAUGGCCACCGGCGCACGAGCAGGAGCACCAUGGCCAGCGCCACCAAGCAGAGGGAGAAGGCUGAGAAGGCCAUGCCCGCGCACUGCGCUGCCCAUGGCAAGUCCAUGGCUCUUGUUUCUAGCUAGAAUUAGCUAGCGGAACAGGCCUGGAUCAGCAGAUCGGCAGGAGCGAGAGAGAAAGGAGAGGAAAAUGUGAGUUUGUGCGGCGGAAGACCCAGGAGGCUUUGUCUAUAUAUAACGUGGGUGGACCGGGAAUUCAGCACAUGCCGCACGUGCGCUUUGGCUUUAAGAAACGUUUGUCUAAACCUUUUCCCUUUCCCGCGUAGUACACACAGCUCAUGUCCCCGUCAUUGCGCAACAGCUGAUGACAGUUGGGUCCACAUCGCCAAGGAGAGGGCAGGGGGGGGGGGGGGGGGGGGGGGGAAGGAGAGGAGCUUGCCACCCAAGAGCGCAGUAUCUUAGAGCCUUUUAAUAACAACUCCAAAGUGAUUUUAGGGAGAGCUUAGUCAAACAGUACUUUGUAUGAGUGAUCUGAUUCUCUGAACUAAAUCAAGAUGCUAGGAACUUGGAAAAAAAAACUAGCUUUUCCUUAUUCACUUCUCGUCCAGAAUAAUUUCCAAUAUAAAGGUUAUCCUCAAGAACCAUUUUCAACCAAAAACUUAAUUCUCAUAAAGAAACACUUUUAAAAGAGCUCUACUGAAGAGGUCCUUAGCACAAGGUUGUCUUUGGAACUAAAUCUUGAAAAAAUGUUGUAUCAAAUGCUUAGGUGUUUGAAAAUUCAUACUUUGGGCUUGUGGGGAUUGUAACCUUAUUCAGUUGGAUUUUUCUUGAAAUGGAAAUGUUAGUGAAGGAGAAGAAAAUCAGAAUGGCGUAGCGAGUCAGUUGCACUAAUUACUACCUCUGUCCCACAUAAUAUAGCUACUUCUAGCCAUUCAAAUAUUGCUAUAUUUUGGGAUGGAGGGAGUACCUAGCAACUGUCAGUGAAUUGCAUGCUCUUAUUUUUUUCUCUCUCUUGAUUCAACUACCACAACUUUCUCUCAUGUUGCUUCCACUACAAGUGAAAAGUACAUGAAAAAUAUUUAUUUUAGUGAAAAUAAUUUUGUUUUACAAUUAAGGAGGGAAACGCUAAAAACAAAGUAAAUGUGGACGAGAAACAAAUACACAGGUGCAGUAUCUAGAUCAAAGAGGGUUACGUACUAAGCUAGAGGCUAGCAAGAUAAGGUUACCUGUCAAACCGGGCCGGUAAAUGGUCCAGUCAAUUCAUCAUCGGGUUAAACAUGCAUCAACAAGCUAUUUGACCGUGAAUAAAGCUAGAAAGCAACAAACAAACUCGUGGGAUGAUUGGAUUGCCAUGUAAAUAUUGACCUUUUUAAACUUUUCAUAGAAAAAAUAGGACUGGAGGGCCUACGCCACUUUAGUCCCUAUAUAUCUUGUUCAUAUUCUUUUGAGAAUCCAUUGUUCCAAAGUGAGACACAAAAUACACCAUGUCGAAAAUUAUACCUAGAAAAUAAAGCCUAAGAUUACACUAGUAGAGAAUUGGGCUUUAGUCCCGGUUGGUAGGGUCCAAAUAUCUCGAAAAUGCAUCCGGGAUAAACCAACCGGGACAAAAGGGGGGGUCUUUUAUCCCGGGUCACUCAACCGGGACAAAAGACCCCCUUUUAUCCCGGUUGGUAAUGGGUCACGCACGGCCGGCGCUGCAAAAAAAAAAAAUUCCCGAGCUCCCAGGAGGCCCCCCCACAAGUCACGCGAAAUAUGCGCGUGCGCGGUUCGUGGGAUUCGAACCCACAACCUCCAGCCUCGCGCGUAGCUUCCUUGCCAUCCCACCUACACACCACAUCUGACUAUGUAGGGGAUGCUAUCCUUUUGUAUUAACUCGUGGGGGACCCUUUUAUCCCGGUUGGAAACACCAACCGGGAUAAAAGACCCCCUUUUAUCCCGGUUGGUGUUUCCAACCGGGAUAAAAGGGUUCGAGGAUUUAAUCCCCUUCCAGCCACCUUCCAGUCACCUCGUUGGGGGACCCUUUUAUCCCGGUUUGAAACACCAACCGGGAUAAAUGACCCCCUUUUAUCCCGGUUGGUAUUACAAACCGGGAUAAAAGGCUCUUGACCCUUUUAUCUCGGUUGGUGUUACCAACCGGGAUAAAAGACUUUUAUCCCGGUUGAUGUUUCAAACCGGGAUAAAGGCCUCUCAGAGUCUUUUUUUCCCACUAGCCUUUGCAACCGGGAUAAAAGGUCCCGGUUGGUGAGCCCCUCACCAGUGACCGAGUUUUAGUCCCGGUUGGUGAACCUUUUGUCCCGGACCAACUUUAAACCGGGACAAAAGGGGGCGUAUGGAAAGCCAAUUCUCUACUAGUGUUAGAAUCAAUGUCAUUAGCAUUGAGAUAUAUACUAGGCAGGGCCCUGUUUGUUCGAAGCUGGAAAUUAAAAGGAUAAAAGUGGGCAAAACAUUGAUAAAUUGGGAGAUGGUUUGCUGGCUCGAGCUCGUACAUUUUUAGGCUUAGUAUAAAAACAAAUAAAUAGUAUAACUAAUAAGAUGCAUUUAAGUUUCCCGCAACUGAAUAGCAUUACCAGGCAUUAGUCUAGUCUUAUUAGCGCGCAUUGUAUCAUGGUGCAUAUAAUUUCUUUUUGUGGCAUGUCACAGUUAGAAAGAGAGAAGAAAAGUUGUACUUGGUGGUGAUACUGAUACACUUUGCCCUUGAUAUCCAAGACUAGAAAACCAUACUCGCAUUCUGUAUUUCUGUGUCUACUCUAAAAUAGAACAAUGGCCUAGCUAGGAAAUAAUACAAUGCAAUCCUAGCAGAAUAUGUUAGCCUUUAAUCAUAACAACAUGAUCAUAUAAUGCAUCGGUAAUAGCCUUGGCGAGGAACAAAUACACACUGCAAUGUUAGUUGAAAGUACCUAACGCGACUGCUACUAGCUAGGUAGUUAGUACUUGAUCGGAUUGGUAUGGUGUACGUACUGCUAGUUGAGAUGAUUAAUUGUUGUCUCCGAGAAUCAUAUGUAUCACACGCAUGCUGCAGCUUGCACUUAAUUUAGAGCUGCAAGUUGGUUUAGGUAGUAAUCAAGCAAGUCGGCAGGCAUGCUUGGUCGUGCUGGCGCCAAAAAAAAAAUCCGUACCCCUGAUCCCCGACAGCUGGCGUCCAUGGUUCUUGGACUUGUUUUUUCCCGCGCGUGCUGCGCAAGUGCGCAGCUGGGGUCGUCUUCGAACCACGUACUACACUUCUACUUGAUUCGUUUAUUUCUCGAACCACGUACUGCGUGAAGUGGCCAGCUUCCAAACAUACUCCCUCCGUCCAUUUACUCUCUUGCGCGAUGACCAAGGGAGGGUUGAAGGAGGACCGAUUAUCAUUUAAUCGCGGCUUUGUACUAAAUGCACCGUGGGCUGUUGGGUUUCCAAGUAACCUCUCCGCUAACGCCGUUACCACGCGUCCGCGGCCAGCACGCGCGCUUGCCAUCCGCGGCCCUUCCGUUUUCCGUUUUGCCGCGUGAAAAUUGCCGAGAUCAUCUCCUUAGGGCAUGUACAACUCACGGACAGGUGUUCGUCUCUAAGCGUCUCGAAUCUAUCAUACAGAUAGGUAUAAAGACAGGUCAUACAACCCACCGAUGGGGGAUCCGUCUCUAUACUGUUUAAUACUUUGCAUGUAGCUAGGUACAUAUGGAGAAGAUUUGGGAGAGAGAGCACCUUCUCCCGCGCGCAAAUCACACCUGCGCGUGCGAGCGCCCGGGAUCCGCGCAACGACGAGUCGAGGAGGCGGUACAACGCUGCUGGAGCCAUCUCUUUCGCGAGGUGACGCCGGCUCCGUCUCUACGCUCUCACGGGGUGUUUUCUGUAAAAACUACGCUGAAGGGACGGGGUGAAGGGACCCGUUGUACAUGCCCUUAUUUGCCGCUGUCAUCCUUGAGUCCGCCCAGAUGAAAAAAUUGCCGAGAUCACCUCCAAAAUUAGCCGCGCUCGCUUCAAAAUUUCGAAGCUAAAUUCUGUUGCCGCCUAUGCUCUGGGAUGGUCUAUAUAAGUCUCCAUGGAAGUCAACCCUUGAGCAUGCAGUUCCAGCAAACUCUUUCCUCUCUCUUUCUCUCUAAUUCAUGUUGUACUAGUUCAUCAACAAUGCCUGGACUAGGGAUCGACUUAAAUGAAGCACCACCUGAAUCAGCAUUAAACCAUCCAAUAGAUUGGGAUGACGUAGUCGAUUGGGAUGGCCCUGCCCAUGAACUCGAUUAUGCCAUGGUUUGGGAUGAUGGAAAUCAAGGUGCAGAUUUAAUAAUGAUCCUUGAUUUGUCAUUUGUUUCUUCUGUUCGUCAUCUCAUCUUUUUGUGUGUUUCAUGUCAUAGGUGAUGAAGAUGGAGGAUUACCAGCGCCACCCACAGGAGUGCAAGCACCUGGUACAGUAGAUGGAGAUGGUCAAGGAGCAGAUGGAGAUCAAGAUGCUGCUGCAGUAGAUAGCGUGCAAGCAGAGGGUCUUUCAAAUGGUGAUUUUCAGUUUCUUGUAUUAAUCAGUGAUUUGUUGGUUGGAUCGGGUUCAGUUUUCUUAGUCAGGUUCAAGAUCAGUUUAGUCUAGUUUUUUAGUUUUAUUUGUUGUCGGAUAGAGCGUCAAGUGUUUUUUAUCCAUGCUGAAUGAUCAGUCUUUGUCUUUUAAACCAAUGUACAAUGUCGUGUACAUCGAUGAAAAGUAGUUCUAUAGGACUCGUAGGAACAAAAAUAUUACCUUACAAAUGAUGAAGAAAGACCACAAUGAACAGUUAAAAGCAAAAAUUUUAUUGAGGAGGUGAUGUUCCUAGCUAUGGUUAUGAGGUCUAAAUUUGAUGACAAUGGUCAAUGCAUUUUUGAUGGUAAACUAGGUAUUUUUCCCUUUGUGAAAGUAGAGCCAGCAAAGAGAUGGAGCCCAAACAGGGACGCAGGUACUAAAAAUUGCAAUUUUUUUUGCAUAUCCUGCAUGAAUUAUAAGUCUUAUUAACAAUGUUUACAUCUGUAGAUACCCUUGUAACAAAAGCCAUGACGUCGGUAACAAAAGAAGUUAGCCGAGAUUUCCUUGUGAACAAGGUUCUACCCGCAAUCAAAGCAAAGUGGUCUGCAGAAGAGAAAGGAUUGCCCAUAUACAUACAACAAGACAAUGCUAAGACUCACAUUGAUGUGAAUGGCCCUACAUUUGUUCAGGCUGCUCAAGCAGAUGGUUGGGGCAUUAGGCUCACAUGCCAACCUCCCAAUUCUCCUGACCUUAGUGUAUUGGAUCUCGGUUUUUUUGCAGCAAUUCAGGCACUGUUUGAAAAGGGAACACCAAACAACAUUAACAACAUUAUGGCAAAGGUUGAUAAGGCGUAUCAGGACUAUCCUGUGCAAAGGGCCAAUCGUAUUUUUCUAACCCAGCAGGUUGCAUGAUGGAGAUCAUGAAGCACAAUGGAGGCCAGCACUACAACAUCCCUCACAUGAAGAAGAAAACUCUAGAGUUGCAAGGACAUCUUCCAACUACUCUGAGUUGCCCUUUGCAACUUCACAAUCAAGCCAUGGAGUUCGUCUCUAGUUAGAAUUAGAAGUCAUGUAUGAUGUUUUUUUGUUGCUUUGGUUCGAGUAAUGGAAACUGCAAACAAUAUUAUCCCUUAUUUUUCAAAUGCAAUUCAUCUUGAACAUGAAUAUUUUCAUCCAUUAGCUAACAGAACUUACAGUACUGCUAAACUCAACACAAAAAUUGCUCCAACUAAUACUAGGACUAGUACAAGGAAGGAAAAAUAAUCUUAAACAUGGACAUCUUAGUUUCUUCAAGCUUCUCAGCGUCCAGACCUCUAUCUGGAGUCUUUGGCAAUCCAUUAGAAACAUUACAGUACCCACGACCAAUCCAAAGGUAGGUUGUUGCAGCAUCAUUGACGUCCUCCUCAUGGCGUCCAUACAAGAGAGGCAAUAAUAAAGGAAACAUCAAACUAGAGGCUUCAUGAUUCACCUUGUCGGAUUGAAACUUGUUAACAUCAGUUGAAGCCAGCUUCACUAGGGCAUACACGGUGUCAGGUUCGUCGAUUUCGGCAAUGUCCAUCUAGGAGUCCGGCACCUCAGUCUCACCUACAAAAGUAUCCAUCAUGAACUACACCUCGCUGUCGCCCAUGGGGUCUUCAUCUUCGUUGGUAGAAUCUGGUGCCGAGUUGACACCACGCACGUAAUGGAUCUCAUCAUCGUCGUCCUGGUGAUCCAUCGCAUGCAGCAGCGUGGCAGCAUGGCGGCGUGGAGCUACUCAGCAUCGCGGCGGCAUGGAUCGACUCGGCGGCGCGGAGGCGUGGUGGGCUGGACACUUUCACGAAGGCUAACGGGAGGGAACGGAGGCGGUAUUUGAAGCAAUGAGAGGAUGGCGCCGCAUCAAUUGCCGUGUUUCGUACAAGGAACCAUGAGCGCCUAGGGACGAGGUCCGUAGCUUAAACGAUGCCGACUCUUGGAAAACUUUUUUUUCCUCAGAUGAUAAAUGGACGGAGGGAGUAUAUUGAAUUUUAGUGGAUAUUCGAGAAGUUAGAUUUUAGGAUUCUCAAAAUCCCAGAAGCUCAGCUUGAGUAGAAGUCUAUUUAAUUUGGAUCGGAUCAUAUUCUGAGAAUCCAGAAGCAAGAAACUGCUGACUAGCUUCCAAACAAAUUAAAUUGAAUUCCUGUGGAGAUUCUAGGAGCUAGAUUUUAGGAUUCUCAAAAUCACAGAAAGUAGAGUGGGACAGCUUCCAGUAGCUACCUCACUCUAAGCUUCUGGGAUUUUGCGCUCCUUGAUCCAUUUGUGUCCUCCUUGACCUGAUCCCACUCGAAACUGUCCAGUCUAUCUAGCUGUGCAAUCACGUUGGAUUGUGCCCGCAGCUGCUCUGAUCUUGCGAUGAUCUCGCGCGUGCAGGCUUCGGAUCGGUUGGCCGUGUGAUCCGAUUCUCUGACACCUUAUAUAUACGUGCACCAUCCAUGACGACGACGCAGGACGCAAGCGACCACAAUCGGCACUGGUGGGCUCGGGCCGGCCACGUCGCCGGUCGAUGCAGCUGUGCUCCCGGCGGCCGCUUCCGUCAAAUCGGUCGAUCCGAUCAUCUUGUCGUCAAUUGUAUUCUCCCAUGGGAAUCACGUGAAGAAAGGUGAAAUGUACGGUAACUUACUAACAAAGGUAAUAUGACUUGCGAGCUUUGCGGUGAUAUAAGGUUCCGUUUGGUUGUUGAGAAGCUCCAAAAUUCAUGUCACAUCGAAUGUCUAGAUACUACUAGAAGUAUUAAAUAUAGACUAAUUACAAAACUAAUUGCACAGAUGGAGGCUAAUUUGCGAGAUGAAUCUAUUAAGCUUAAUUAGUCCAUGAUUUGACAAUGUGGUUGUUGGGGGGUAAAUAUUAACGGCCUCCUUAAAACUCCUCAAACAGCGGUCAUAAGGGCCCGGGCCCACCUGUAGCGACAGUGAUCUCCGCCGACCCAACGUGGACAAGGAGAAUUCCACUCCGCCUCGCCCGACCCCUGGUCCCGGGGUCGGACACGCCCGACCCCUCGCCGCAAGGCUCCGCCUCGCCCGACCUACGGUCCUAGGGUUGGACACGCCCGACCCGCCGCAAGGCUCCGCCUCGCCCGACCCUGGGCGCAGGGGGUCGGACUCAUCCAGGCCCACAAGACAAGGAUCCACCUUGGGCGCAGAUCAGCGGACGAGGGCGCAGAUCUCGUGGGCUCCCACCAACCUUGCCAUUAAUGCGAGGCGGCUCUGGCGUGCAGAAAGGCGCCCGCACUCCUCGACGUGGCUCGCCACCGUACUCAGGCGGUACACUGUAGCCACGACCGCACAGGCUACAGCGGCACCGUCCUAGUCCGCGGCCUUCCCUGUUCGCCAUAGGGUGCUCUUUACCCGUACCUCCCGGCAGAGGAGGGAGCGCCGCCCGGUUCUGCGCUCGGUCCGGCGGCAGAGACAUAACGACCACGCCUCUCGGACAGCACGCAGGACUACAGAGGUCGGCCGUCUCCCACGACAUGCACAGUUGCGGCGACCGGACAUCAUCAUCAUGCUUGGCCACGGCGGUCGGACAACGUGCGCAUCACGCACACACGGCGACGGCGGGCAACCAGAGGAUCCUCAACAGGAUCCAACGACAGCCGCCCCUCUCCGGCGGCCACGCUGGUAGGAGAUGAAGGCCGGAAGGGAAGGCGGCGACCCCGGGGACUCGGUCCUUCGACCAGUACUCUGCGUUACCUUACACACUUAUCUCUUUUACUUCUCCUUACGCCUGACUCAUCUGUAACUCCAGUGUCCUCCUUGCGCCAUAAAAGAAGGCCCAGGGGGCCCGAAACAAGGAGGACUCUCAAGCCAACUGAACUCACACCCUCUCCUCACGAGCAUCAGUGCACACCCAAGAGACUUGGGACCAGUUCCCUCUCUCGCCUGUUUGUAACCCCUACUACAGACUCCGCGUGAGUAACACGAGCAGCACCCCAUACUGGACGUAGGGCUAUUCCUGCCCGAACCAGUCUAACCUCGUGUCCUCUCACGCAGCCAUCCGAGCCUUACGCGCAUAAAACAAAUUUAUUUGCCGUAGUCUUGAUCUGCUAAUCUCGACAACGACAGUGGUGCUACAGUAAACAUGUGCUAAUGAUGGAUUAAUUAGGCUUAAUAGAUUCGUCUCGGGAAUUAGCCUCCAUCUGUGUAAUUAGUUUUAUAAUUAGCUCAUGUUUAGUCCUCCUAAUUAGCUUCCGAAUAUUCGAUGUGACAUUAAUUUUAGUCCGGACUAAAGAUCCAAACACCCCCUAAGGCUCGACUGAAUCUUCGUGUUACUUCUGCUGGUGCUGAUACAAUGCUUUUUUAAUUCUUAGGUCAAAGCGGAGACAAUGUUAGUUUUAGGGGGUGUUUCAAUGCUUUUUUAAUUCUUAGGUCAAAGUUGAGACAAUGUUAGUUUUAGGGGGUGUUUGGAUACUAGGUGCUAAACUUUAGUAAAGUCAUAACGGAUGUUCGGAUGCUAAUUAAGAGGACUAAACAUGAGCUAAUUAUAAAACUAAUUGCAGAACCCGUGGGCUAAUUCGUGAGACAAAUCUAUUAAGCCUAAUUAAUCCAUCAUUAGUAAAUGGUUACUGUAGCACCACAUUGUCAAAUCAUGGACUAAUUAGGCUUAAUAGAUUCGUCUCGCGAAUUAAACUCCAUCUAUACAAUUAGUUUUGUAAUUAAUCUAUGUUUAAUACUCUAAUUAGUAUCCAAACAUUCAUAGGAUAGGUGCUAAAUUUUAGGGUUGGUAUCAAACACCCGUAGCAAACCAAGCUGGCGGCGAGCAUCAUGCUAGCUGCUUGCGUACAAGAUGAUGACGUACGUAUCUUACGUGGACACGCAUCUACUUUCUGCACUAAUUGUCGGUAGGCCAUUCAUCGCCUGAUCGAGAAGAUGAUUCGGUUUUUUGGACACGUGGCGUGUGACCCCACCCUCUCUAAUUAAAAUAGGUCUAUAAAUUGAUGUGUGUAGAUCCGUAUGGGUGCAGCGUGUGCUAUCACUUGGACAGCGAGGCGGGACAGAUCGAUCGCGAUGCGGCUGGCUAGUGCUCUGCUAGCUGUGUGCUGUCAAGCUGAUUGGGACUGGCGAACUGCCGUGUCCCUUCAGUUCCCGUCCCUGCCACACGUACGUACGCCGCCGUGGCCGCGGAUCAGCGGCAAGAAUUCCGCACGCUUUAAUUUCCCACGACCACCAUGCAUGCAUGGGAGGCGUCCGUAGUCCGUACACCUCUUGGAGCCGAUCUUUAUCUCUUUGGGGCCGGCACCAGGCGUGCUUUGUGGAAUCUGUACGAUCCACCGCCAUUGCAUCAUUCAUGCCACGCCGGCGCUAAGCCAAUGGCGACCUUUGUUUUUUUGGAGCCAAACGAAUGGUAACUUUGAUUAAACUUUCAUUUCCUUUAGGUUUUUCCAUGACGAUGGCAUCACCGACCAAACUUAAAAAUGAUCUGUGUGGUACGGCGUGGGGCACUGCCUAUGGGAAUGGGUAUAAUCUAUCUAUGUACUGACUUUUGUGACCAUUUAUUUUAUUUAUUCCUGAAUAAAGGUCAAAGUGAGGUUGCACUAAAGGAGUGUACUAUAAGACCCUUGAAUCAUUUCUUAAACUCAAUUCGAAAGAGGAAAACGUGCCUGCAAAUACAAGCAAUAACUUUUCUAGAUGAUCAGUUGGUGAUCGGGGCAAUGCUCAGUAACAUUCCAAGGCCUGCUCUUCAUAUAUAUUAGAGGGCACACCUUUGUGUUCAACUGAAUAUUCCACCGAAAGCUAUAGCACCAUCACAAUUCUGUAAACUAGUCCAACAAACCGUGCAUCCGCGCACGGGCUAAUACUUUUAGAUGACAUAUAGGUUAUUAUUUAGAUUAGGGAGAGCCAUCAAAAAUAUUUUCUAUUUUUUGCUUUCUUUUAUGUGUUAUUUUCUUAAUGCUUAUGAUAUCAUAUAAUUUAAAUAGUACAUAAUACAUUAAUGAGCAUUGGUUGUUAUGAUUGGGUAGUGAGACCAAUACAUUUUUUAUAGUGCAUACUAUGCUUUAAAAUUGGUAAUAAGUACAAUGACAAUAAAAAAAAAGGAAAAUCACUAUGUUUCAUGCCGUCUCCUCGGUACUUCCCAAUGUAGCAGAUAUUAAUCAAAUUUGAGUAUAUGAGCAUGUGGGAGGCCCAUCUUUUGCAACUCAACCAUGUAGAUAUCUACAUUGAAAAUGGAUAUUGUUAGCUCACCUAUAAAUGAAUAAUUAGCAACAUACUUGAAUAUGAGAUGUUCAUAUUUACCUGUAAUAGGUUCCCAACAUUGUAGUCCAUGUUUUAUGUCUCUCGUCAAUUUCUUCAUGUUAUCUUGAAACACUGUACUGUUGAUGUCAGGCAAUGGUCUUUGACCUUCUCCUUCCUCAACGACGUUACACAUAAAUGACACAAAUAGUUUAGGGUGUUGAACAUAAUAACAUGUCAUCAUAGCAUCUUGGUGGUUUUGUCCCUGUAAACAGCACGCCUUUGUAAAGGAGACGAUAAUAUUAUCCUCUUUCCAACAUGUCCAUCUCUUGUGUCUUCUUCUAUGAAUGUUUUUUUCUUGGUAAAAGGUUCCUCAGUGUCUACCUCUUCAUUCAGUAGUUAUUGUGUAGCCUUUGUAUGAGUUGUCUUCUACUUCCUUCAAAUAAUCAAAAAGAAAAUAAAUUUAGGUCAGAAUUUGUUUCAUCGAUACAGUAAACUUAUCAAAUAGUAAGGAUUCAAAAGAAAAAGUGCAAUAAAAUACUUAGUAAUAAUGAAAAUGUGUUACCUCUUUGACACUUUGCAUGUUAAUUGUUGAACUGCUCUUUUCUGUUGGAAAAAUAUCUUUGGAACACUAUAAUCAGGUCAAAAACUUGUCAAGUUGUACUCGGUCAUUCUGAACUGAAAAACAUUGUUUGUCCACAUAUCUGUUGAUUCAUUAAUUACCAUUUGUGCUUCCUUGUCAAAAAGUACACAAGAUGCAACUGCUGUUGGAUCACUUAUUGUAAAGUACUAAAUAAUUUACCGUGCUAUAAGUUUAGCUCUCUUGUCACAUUUAUUGCAAUAGUAGUGAUCAAAUUUCGUUUCAAGUUGCUUCUUACAAUGCCUCUACUACAUGAGAUGUAGUACAAACCAAAAUGUUGCAUUAGUUUCAUUUAUUGUUGCUUCAACGGUAAUUACUUUAUCCUGUAAGUAGAAAAAAUACCAUCAGUGUGUGUAAGUCUUUAAACAGGAUAGUCUAUAAUGAACAAACUAAUGCAUACCUGAUUUGAUGUGUCAAACAAUAUCGAAUUCAAUUCUUCUAAAGUUCUUCUGUUGUACUGCAUAAGGUCUUCCAAUGUCCCUUUUAGAUGGUCUUCCAAUACCAUCAGUAUGUUUUAAAGUUCUUCUAAAUCCCUCUUAUAAUAUUAUCAAUUGAACUAACGCUUUUUUCAUAAUUCAUGUUAGAGUGCAGGCUACAUAGCUUAAAAUAGAAAAAUAAAUAUCUAAAUUUGUUUUAAUAUUUUAUUUUCUUAGGAGGUUAGUUUGUUGAAUGAAAAAUAUUGAAUAGCUCAUAUCAAAUGAUGACUUACUGUCAAAUUUCCUCACAGUUGUAGAUGUUAUUAUGAUGACAUGGGAUUUUAUCUUAUCAUCAACCUCCUCAAAUUUGUCUCCCCAAAAUCUAACUUUAACUUCAUGGUCACUGCAAAUUUAAAAUUUUGUAUUUAACUAUCUGACUGCAAAUUAAAUUGUUUGGAGGGGCACUAUAGAAGAUAUUUUGAUAUUUUGAGUUCAACAAAAGUUCUGUAGCAUGCAUGUAAACAUUGAAAGUUUUGUAGUUGUUUUGGAUGAGAGAAAAGUGAAUUAACUUCCUACUCGAUCAAGAGCACAAUAUCAUGGAUUUUGAUCAAACAAAAUGGUUUAGUAGGCGUAACACAUGCCAUGAAAAAUUAAUCUAGUUGUAGAAGGGAAAUUAAACAAAUUAAUGUCUUUCUCACGUGAGAUUUGAAUGGUCUAAAAGGUUCCCUGGCCGUAGCACUUGAACCUUCAAUAGGAAUAACAGUUCAGAGGCAAUUUGAUCGUACCUUUCUAUUGAAUAGCAGCAGGGUCUAGUUCUGUUGAUGAAAGUAGCAGCAGACCCUAGUUGAUGAAGCAGUACACAAAACAAAAGAGUUGUUCGGCAAAGACGGCAUCUCUCUUUUUAUAUACACGCAAGAGUAUCUAAUUUAGUUGUAUUAGCUAACAACCCUUUAGGAUAGAUUGUUUUAUGAUUUAAAUAUGGGAGAGAGAUUGAAGGCAAGAGAUUACGCUAAAUUUGAUCGGCAGGCAUCUCUAUAUGCACAUACGUAUCUAGUUUGUUUGUUGGUUGUAUUACAUAAUUAAGGAUUCUUUAACGAUAUACUCUUUUUAUGGUUUAAAUAUGGGAGAGAAAUUAGGGGCAAGAGAUUAAUUGUGUCACAUGUGACCGGCAGGACAGGGUAGUUAGACAAUUUUUUAUUUUAUUUCAAGCAAAGAGAUUUAUUAUGUAAGAUGUGACCGGCAGAUCGUUUAGAUUAAUUUUUUCUACAGUGGAUAUGUGAGUAAUUUAGACAUAGAUAUAGGAGUUAUUUUGUUAAUUCUUUAUAAUGGUAUAUGUGGGUAAUUUUAGAAACAGAGUACAUCUAACGGCUAUUAAAAUCUUACUAGUAAAGCAAGAUGUUUUGCUUUUUUUUAGAAUUUAUAGGAUUUCUCAAGAAUGUCCACCUAGAAAUCCUAAGUGGCUUCACCUGGAAGCUUCAAAAGGAACCUCGAAUUAGUAAAAGGAAGAUUAGUUACGGGUUUACGCCGCAUAUUUUACGCAUGACGGUACGGUCAAACGGAAUCGAUACAGUAAAUCUGUGUCACUGCAUGGGCACCAAAAUCCGAUCCUUUUCGUUUUCGUCCCGCCGAUCCAUUCAACGGGUCUCAAGGUCAUCAGUGUCCCGCGCCGCCAGGCAGUGGAGAGAUGUGUGCCGGCGCCGCAGAACGCACACAACAGGCGGCGGCGAAUGGUGGAAGGCAUGCCGUUGUCGCCUUGUCGGCCACGCUGCACCACACGUACCACGACGUUCGGUGGUCGACAUGUGGAUUAACGGUCCUACUAAUCUCGUGCACAUGCAUGAUGGUUACUGCAAGUAUGGGCCUGCUAGCUUUAUUUGGCUGCUUGAUGGGACACUUGUCGCACGCUCACAUAUCUUGCAUGGGAGACUGCAGGAACGCACCAUUAUUGCGAAAAAAAAGGCUCAGCAUGGGCGGAAGUCAAAUUGUCAAGUUUGAUAAAUUAUCAAAUUUAUAAGGAAGAGUAUCGAUAUUUAUAACAUUAAAUAGGUAUGCUAUGAAAAUAUAUUUUAUAAUAAAUUUAAUGAAAAUUUGUUAGACAUCAAAAGUUGUUGGAGCCCAAAAGUGGCAGUGGUACCGAUCAGGCUUGUAGCCGAUCUGGUGCAUGUCCACCGGUCCGGUGGCCCCGACCGGUCAGCCCGAGUCUGAAAUAAUUUUUGGAGUCCAGGGCGAAUCGGAGAUGAAGCGGGAUUUUCUUGCGGGAAAAGACCUCCCGCCCUAUAAAUAUAAAGGGCCCUGACCGAUUGAGGGCAACCAACCCAAUCGUUAAAAAAGACCUCCCGCCCUGUAAAUAUAAAGGGCCCUGACAGAUUGAGGGUAACCAACCCAAUCGUCAAACACAUUUACCUACUUUUUACCUCCAAACCCUAGCUUUCCAACCCCCUUGCUUUCCUCCUUCGUCUCGACAGCAUUUGAGGACGUUCUGAGUGGCCUGACCGAUCUCAGAGCAACCCUAGGCCCGCCAUCUCCGACGGGGUCCCUCAUGAGGUGGUGAACGUAGGCUUUCGCGGUGCCCCUACGAGGAUCGGUCUGACCGGACCCCCUAACCGAUCUGACCGGCCAGGUGCAGAAGCCUCACGAGGUGAUCUUUUGAUUUGCGUGCGAACCAGCGUGAUCGUGUGUUGGCCGGAAAAGGCGCCAACAAAAGUAUUGAUAUAUUUUUAUAUAAAUUUGGUCGAACAUAAGAUGAUUUGACUUAGGACAAAACUCUAUACGGAACCGGAGGAGUAGGUGGUUGAGUAUUAGUUUUUUUUUUGACCUCGUAUCUUUCUCCUUUCUUGCAUCAUGAGGCAUUGUUCCAACUUUCCCAGUGCUAGCCACAAUUAUUUCUUUUUUAAAAGACUGCAGGAACGCACCAUUCACAAAACAGGGGCGACCUCAGUCAGCAUGGGACGGCGGCACGCUUGAUGCAAGCGCUCACGUAACCCUCGUAACUGAGGGUUUUUUUUUAACCUUGUCUCUUUCUCCUUGUUGGAGUAGAAACUACGUGCUCUGCAUAUGUGCUUUAGCCUUUAGUCAAAGGAUGUUCUUUCUUGCGUCGUGUUGCUUUGCUCCAACUUUCUAAGUAGUAGUAGCAGCUACAAUUAUUUCUUUUUAAAAGACAGAGCCGUGUCAAUUUUAAUGCCGCAGCUGAGAUGCUGGUAGCACUCAAGCACAUCCCUUGCAUUUGAUGUUCUCUUCCGGCGCAAAUUCAGAAUACAACCCAAAACUGGAUUAUGAUUGCUUCCGCCUGAAACAAUUUGUGACGGCAUGAAUUUAGCAUUGUGCCCACUUCAUGCUGGUGAUGAGGAAAAAGUCAGGAGGAAUACGAAAACCUGCUCAUUUAGACGGCACCGAAAACUGAGAAAUGAGAGCCCCUUUUUAUGCUUUCCACUCAGGCUGCUUGACCUUUAAAGUACAUGUACAGACAUGCUUGGAUUAUUGGAAAGCCAGUGCUGGUAAUUCUAUUCCGAUAAAAUAUUCGCACCAUGAAAAAAAAUGUAGUAUGUCCAGCAUGGAAGCAGUUGAGUAUAUACGACAGUAUCUUAGUAAGUCGAUAGGGAGAGGUUAGGAUAAAUGGGCACAUGUGGAUGUGCAAGUGCGGCCGCUUUAGCUAGGUUGCCGGGCCGCAUUUGAGCUACAAAACAAGCACAUUUUGCAGGCCUUAUCUGCAAACAACUGCAGCUCUAUCUUGCUGUUACAAGGGCAAAAAGGAUUGACGCCUAUAUAUACACGAGAUUAAUUGUAAAUGGUUGGAAAGAUCAAACAUCUGCAUCAAACCUUAUUUCUAAUGUACCACUGUUUGAAAUGAUGGCCUUCCUGCCUGAAAGAGUUGUUGUGAACAAGUAGCUAACCAACCAACAAGUCAUAGUCCCACACUAGCUAGCAGAAGAGGUAGCAUCUAGUCAAUGUAAUUGGAAUAAGCACCGCUGCCAUGGCUGAUUUCUUAUCCAAAUUCGUGGACUGCGAGCCACUAUAUUGCGGCCCCAAAUUUCAUAUCGAUUAAUUCUUGCCGUACCGGCAACGGCAAGGUUAUGUUAUUACGCACGUUGUAAAUCUGACAUGAUGCGAGAUGGUCGGUGGUAUCAGCGUCAACUGGAUAGGGACAAAGUGUAUUCAAGUGGUGCUCCAUUCUGUCUCCCUAAUUCCGUCAGUGACUUAUUGUACUGGGCAAAGAUUACAUUACUACAAAGUUAGUAAUGCAAGCAUCAAGCUUACAUAGGUGAUGACGAAGGUGUCAGUGCUAUAAGACGCAGUGGUCAGGACACGAAAAUGAAAGUAACAAGUACUUUAGUAAUGCACAUCAUUUUUUUUUACGCGAACAGCAGACUGCACAUCAAUUUUAAUUGGGUGCAUCUUAGGUAAAAGUGAAACUCUACAGAUUUGUUAAAAACUUUGCUAAGGAGUCGCCACAAAUUGUUAAAUACUCAAAGCUGUAGGUGAUGUUAUGUUGUCAUCAAUCCAUGCAUUGAAAUUUGAGCAUGCUGUUUGUGAGAUUAAACUAUAAACACAUUUCUAGGCCUUUUUUGUCUAUGCAAUCGCAAUGCUAUUGCAGCUGAUGUUUAUCUUACAAUCAAGAUUAACUUCGCUCUUGAGAUUUUGCAUUGAUUUAGAACAUAACAUCACCUAAUUUGUGGUUUAUAAUUCCUCAAUUUUUUUAGUUAGGUUUAAUUUUUGACAAAUUUGUAAAGUUGCAAUUUAUUGGCUGUUUUUCAACAUUGGUUCAAUUAUAUGAGAAUCGAGCACUGGAAUAUAGUCAAUAAUACGAACAAGCUAUUGGCUAUAUUUCAAAACAUGUUACGGUCAUAAAUAAUAAUGACAUAUGAAAAUAAGUCAAUCUAAAUAUAUCUAAGGGACCGGUGACAAAAAUAGCCUUUUACAUUAAUCAUCCUGUUGGGUAUGUUAGUAAUUUUUCAUUUAAUUUAAUCCAGAAACAAAAAUAUAUAACAUGAUAGUAAACAUAGAUAGAUUAAUCAUGUUGCAGAUACUAAUUAAACUAGACACGUGCCUAAAAAAAGUAAACUAUGCAUGCUAAGAAAAUACUAGCACAUAUACCUCAUUAUUUGCACAAACCAGAGGAAUCCCUAACACUAUACUCUGUUCGGCUGGCUGCUUUGCAGCUGGCUGCUGCUGCUCGCAAGCAGCUGUAGCAGCACGCACCAGCAGCCGCCAUGCACUAGCCGAACAACGCCACAUACAUACAUACAUACAUACAUACAUACAUACAUAUAUACAUACAUACAUACAUACAUACAUACAUACAUACAUACAUACAUACAUACAUACAUACAUACAUACAUAUAUAGCAGCAGGGUUGAAGAGAAUAGUAGUUGCCAAAGUUAUGUUUUGCAAAAUCUACUACAGCACGUACGCUAGCUUGAUUACAUUAUUAAUUAUCCCCCUUUAAGAAAUUUCCAAGGAAAAAAUUGAAGGACCGUACAUAUAUAUUGAUCGAUCUGCAUGCAGAAGCCGGGGAAUAGUCGCGGCACAUAUUUUGCUCGUGGUCGAAUGGCAGAAGAGAAGAAAUUUGAUAUCUCUCUAGACUGCAGAAAGCAAACCAAAGAAUUUGUGUGUACGCUAUCCUAUCCACCACCACCAGGACUAAGCAAACACUCCCACAAGAAUGAAAACAACCUUCCUCGCAAAAAAGAAAAAAAGAAACAAAAAAUGAAUGCAAACAACCUGCGCAGGACAGGACCCUUUUUCCGCGUACCUGCACGGAUGCGUCGUCGGCAUUUUCGUCCCCGGCGCCCCGCGCGUGGCGCCACCGGUGGAUCCAAACGCGUCGCCGUCAGAAAAUCUCACGACCGGCCACCUAAUUAAGCAAGGUAAUACAGAGAUCGUCCAAGCAAAAUCGCAGAAAACUCCUGGAAACCGGGCUCUGGUUUGGGUCGCCAGUAAACACAAUACGUGACGGCCGCCGUACGUCCUUUCGGUCUCGUGGGCUGCUUCGCAUGAUCUUCGUUCCUGCAGUGUCCCACGUCCUGCUGUUCAUUUGGACGUCGGCCGCCGACCAGAGAGGCCUAUUAUUCCUGCCACCUUUUGCUUUCCAGUCGUCAGCAGGCUGCUAGGUUUUUGUAGCACAAAUGCAUGGGUUCAUAUGUAUGCAGAGUAGGGGAACAGAACGAUUACCUCAAUUCAUCAUAAGAUGUUCAAAGACAAGGAUAAAAGCAUGCUCAUAGAAGAGCACAUGUGCGCCGGUGCAAGUGCGGCAGCUUUGGCGCUUUCGGAGUCGGAGCUACAACUCGCUGCGCGGUUCAUACGAGGCUCUGCAAAUGGUUCGGGAAGCACAUUUUGAAGCAUGUUGGGCUUAAUUCUCUAUCUGUCUUGCAACUCAGCCCAACUAGGCCCGCAAGACCGCCAUCACCUUCCCUGAUUUCCCUUCUGCCGCCUCACUCCAGUCCUCAGUCACAUUCAGGGUUCGCGCACGGAUCCCUGACGCCGUUCGCCCGUGUUCUUCUGCCCCCCAAAUCAACAGAUCAGCGCCGCGGAAUCUAGCAGCCCGUUCGGUUGGCUGCGGCUGGGCUUUUUGCGGCUGGACUUUUCAGCCCAGCCGUUCGGAUGGCUGCGGCUUCUAGCAUCCACGGAAGCUGUUGGAAGGGAUAACGACGCGCCUCCAGUGCCUCCCUCUCGCCCCCUUCGUCGCUUGCUCCCCUCCGUCCCUCGCUCCGGAUCCGCCGCCGCCGCUCCCUCCGCUCCCCCGCUCCGUCCCCUCCGCCCGGUCUGCGCCGCCGGCGGGCCCUCGGCUCGGCCGCUCCGUCGCGCUCGCCCGCGCGACGCCGCCGUCCGUCCUGCUUCUCCUCGCCCCCUCCGUCCGGCGCGGCCCGUCCGGAUCCGCCGCCGGUGCAGCUUCCGCUCCGCCGCUCCCUCGCUGCCGCGCGCUCCCCGCCGCCGGUGAGGCGUGGAGUGGCCCUCUCCCUCCCUCCCAUCCGGCCGGGCGACGGCGCCGUUCCUCCCGCUGGACGUCCCCUCCGUCCCUCGGUCCGGAUCCGCCGCCGCCCGUCCCUCCGGAUCCGCCGCCGCAGCUCCGAGCCGGCGCACGCGCUGCCGCCGCCGGUGGGCCGUCGGGUGGAAGGACCGUCUCCCGCGCCGUCGCCCCCUGCAUCCCCUUCGCUCACAUGUAUGGAUGCUACCCCAUCCGUAUGCCGCUAGUGAAUGAAUGAAUGCUUUCACCUCACAUUUCUGGAUGUGAUUCCUGUUAGGCAUGAAACCUGAACACCUCAACCUUGAAUUAUACCGCCGUUGAUUUCAUCGGGUUGCAUUGUUUGAUAAUAGUCUGAAACAUUCAAGUGGACACUGAAUUGGUUCAUUAUUUUUCUGUGUGUUAGAAGGGGACUAAGACAAUCACUGUGAAGCGAAGACAAGUCAUAGGUUGAUAGAUUGUGUCCCUCUCGCCAAAUGCCUAUUUAUCAUGGUUAAUGUGUUAUGCUAAUCCUGCGUUCCUUACUUUCAUUUGAUAAUUCUGGGUUUGUACUCAAUAGUUAGCAAGUAGUGUCCUAAUUACUACUAAGGCUGGUGUCAAUCUCGAUUCAAUUUUUGCACCCAGCAGCAAAAAUGUGUAAAAUGCUUCCUGUUUUUAGACAUGCUGCUGGGCAACUGACUUGUUUGAGUAGGGUUUGAUUUUUCUAUGGGAUACUCAGCAUCAUGCAGAAUCUUUCUCAUGAUUGCUGAAGUUUUGAGCUUUCUUCAGCGGGCAUGCUCAAUCUGAGCUCAUGACUGUUCUGCGUUGCAACUUUUUGCAAACCAUUGCUGUUUCUGCGCAACCAAAUAUGAAGACAUUUCACUACAUAUAAGAUCUAGUCAAGUACAUACCUUAAUGCUUAUUGUUGCCCAUUGUGAUAAAAGGAAGGCCUCAAACUAGGAUUGAGGUUAUUUCAUGGGUUAUUCCUUACAGCAAGGGUAUCUGAAACUGAAAUAUCAGGUUAUAGCUUGAUUGGUUGAUUUAAUUUCUCCCCUGGUUUUGGAGGCAUACUUUCUUCUCCCUGUUUCCCUGUUACAUACUAGACUACUUCAUAGUUAGCUGACAUAAGUAGCAAUGGAAAGUUUAAGCGAACGUGGGUGGAAUUAUGCGUUUUCUCAUGAUAUUUGGACCUUUAUUUCCUUUUCAAGUAUGCAAGUAUUUUUUUAGAUAUACUGUGAGAAGUUUGCUGAAAGUGUACAAAAUAUAAGUAUAAAUGCAGUAUGAAUUGACAAUGUCUUAGAGACUUAGUUGGAGUAGACAUUAGCCCUUUGACUGCACCAUGAUUGUCAGCUAAACUAAAAAGGUCCUGAUAACAUGCACUUCCUGAUUUUUACUUGGAUCUUAGAGGCAAGUCUCGUGAAUAGCAAUUUUUUGCCACUGAUAGUCGAAGAUGCAAGCUGAAUGUCACAUUGUGCUGACCUUGUGAUUUCUUUUUGUCACCUUUCAGGCUUCAGGAGGAAGGGUGCAAGGAACACAACACUGAGGCAGAUUCAAGGGUGCCCACACUGGCAUCGUCAUCGACUGGUUCCUGCUCUCCCCCUCCCCCCCGUGUGCCCGUACAAUUUCCGCCACAAACGCCCCAAAGCACCUGCUAAGGCAAGUAACAAUUUCUUUAUUUUACAUUGCUUAGUUGUGUACGUAGGUCGUAGUUGUCCAUAGAUCGGUGCCAUAUAAUUGCAGCUCCUGUGUGCUCAGAUGAAUAACUGUGCCAGCUGGGAUGAGCCCACGACAAAAAUUUUGCUGGACUUGUGCAUUGAACAGAAGAACCAGCUCAACUGGAGCGAUAGAUGCCUCACUAAGUUGGGAUGGAGGAAUGUGCACUCCAGGUUCAGGGCAGAAACUGGAUUGCAAUUGGGAACGAAGCAGCUGCAGAACAAGCUCAACAACUUGAGGAGGCAAUUCUUCGGCUGGCAGGCAUUGCAAACCUCAUCUGGUUUAGGGCGCGACACACAAACUGGUGGUGUGUCUGCUGAUGCCACGUAUUGGGAGCAGUACCAACAGGUACGGACUUUGCGACGGCCCUAAGUUACUGAUCGUCUUACUUGUACUGUUUUGUUUGCGAUGCUGAUAUUUUACUUUGAUGGGACAUUGCAGGACACCCAGGCGAGGGUCCCAGUCGAGUUCUGUGAAGCCUCCACCUUUCCUCAACGAGUUGUUUGAGUUGUAUGGCCACGAACCCCAAGAUAGGGGCACCUUGCUGACGGCCGGAGGUAUUCGUGAGGACACACCUAGCAUGGGGACUGAGGGCAAUUUCGUGGACUUGGAGCAGGACCCCGCCCCUGCUAGUAGUGCUCGUGUCAGUGCUCGUGCCAUGUCAAAAAGGCCGGUCCGAGAGUUCUCUGUGGACAGUCCCACCAAAAAAAGAA